AUUAAUCUCCUAAUUAAUUUAUAAAUUAACAUUUAUGAUUAUCUAAUAAUAUUCAUGAUAAAUUAGUUAAUUAAUUUAUUAAAUAUCAUUUACUUAAUAUUUUGAUGUUAAUUAAUUAUAUACAAUAUUAUUAUUUAACUACUAUAAUUACUUUUAUUCCUAUUAUUCCUAUCUAACUACCGAAACACUAUUUUUCUUAUUCUCAAAAAUAACCCACUUUUCAUCCAAACCUAAAAUUGAUUUUAUUCCUGUUUAUCCUGAAGUUGUACCUAUCCCAGAAAUAACCAAAAAAAAUUUAUUUUCGAACCAAACGAUACCUUUAACGGGCAUCGUUUGGUUUGGGAAUAGGGAUAGAGAUAGGCCCUUAUCCCUCCCUUUAUAUCCAAACGCUAAUUUUUUAUCCGAGAAUAGUAGUUCUCGGUUAUCCCCACCAACACCUCCAUUUUCUAUAUAAAAUUUUCUAAUAUUUUUCUUAUCCUCGGGAACAACCCAAUUUUCAUCCAAACGCUAUUUUUAUUAUCCUCAUACUUGUACCUAUCCCUGUAAUAGCUAGUUCAUGCUUAUAUCCAAACCAAACGGUACGACAAAUUGAUGGACGAUGAAAACAAGCUGAAGACUUUGCUGCAAUUGGGCACAUCAAAUAAAAUAAAAAGAAAAUGGGAGAUUUCUUGGCCAACAAGAAUCUGAUGGCAUGUGGCUCCUUGUCUCAGAAAAUUAUUGUCCAUUUUUUAUUCCUGCAACAUUGUCAGCUGAAAGCUCAAAUUUAAUUAUUAGAGUAAUGCAUGACAAGAGCAGCUCACCAUGUACAUUCUUGGGUUUAGCUCACAAUGUACAUUUUCUAGGGUUUUCUGGCCGGCUGACCGCAUAAUAAUAUAAUUUAAAGGGCGAAACUAAUUAAGAAGAUAAAUUUAAUGGUGAAAAAGUUGAUAGCACGAGCACUUAGUGCUAUUAAAAUUACUAUAGUCCGACUCAAAACUUUAAACUAAUUUUAUGGAUAAGUGUUGGACUAGUAAUUCAAAUUUAAUCUGAAAUUUAGCUAGAGAUAAAGUAUAUCUAAAUUACACAUUGAUUAUAUUUAAAAAUUUAUAUAAUUAGAGUAGAAUUUGUAGUUAUUCAAAGUAAAAGUUGGAUUUAACAUCUGUUAUGAUUUGAUAGCUGUAUAUAAUUAGGUAUAGUUUAAUUAUAUGAAUUUUUAAAUAUAAUCAAUGUGUAAUUUAGAUAUACUUUAUCUCUAACUAAAUUUUAAAUUAAGUUUGAAUUAUUAUUCUAACAAGAACAGUAUAUUUUUAUUCAUUUUUUAUUUUUUUUUGUGUUGAUGUUCGUGAGGUUGAUAACUUUGUUAGUUUAGAUGAGUAGUUUGAGAUCUAUUCUCAUAUUUUUCUCUUCUCCUGCAUUAUUAAAUUUGGAGAGAGUGGAGGAGAUUUCAUGUAGGCCCUAAUGAUAGUUGUAAAGAAAUUAAGUAAAACUCCAAGUAAACCUAACAAUAGAGAAAUAAUAAGAGACUCUCUCCAAAUUUAAUAAUGCAGGAGAAGAGAAAAAUAUGAGAAUAGAUCUCAAACUACUCAUCUAAACUAACAAAAGUUAUCAACNAAAAAAAAAAAAAAAAAAAAAGGAAAAAAAGAAAAAGAAAGGUUCAUGCACACUAUAAUUUCAAAGCCAAGUUGUUGACUUCCUAAACCUUCAAUCGAAUGGAUCCACGAGGCCAAAUAAAAAAAUAUCUACCCACAUCCAAACAAUAAAUAAAAGCCUAAGAUGAACACAAUCAAGCCCCAAUCCAAUCCAAUGGAGCUCUCCCUUCUCCAAUCCAUCUUCUUCCUCCUCCUCCUUCUCGCCCUCUUCCUCCUCGCCCUCUUCCUCCUCCGCCAAAACCCCUCCAAAACCCCCUCCACCAUCCAUGGCCUCAAACCCCACCCCCUCCUCGGCCACCUCCCCCACUUCCUCAGCAACCGCCACCGCAUCCUGGACUGGUUCACCGAGACCCUCCUCCGCAGCCCCACCCACACCAUCUCCCUCCGCAUCCUCGGCGGCUCCGCCGCCGCCGUGGUCACCGCCGACCCCCGCAACGUCGAGCACAUGCUGCGCGCCCGCUUCGACAACUACCCGAAGGGCGCGCACUCCGCCUCCAUGCUGCACGACCUCCUCGGCGGCGGCAUCUUCAACUCCGACGGCGACCCCUGGCGGCGCCAGCGCAAGGCCGCCAGCUUCGAGUUCAGCAGGCGCUCGCUCCGCGCGUUCGUCGUCGACGCCGUGCAGUCCGAGCUGGCGGAGCGCCUGCUGCCGCUGCUGGAGAAGGCCGAAGAGGACGGCGACGUCGUCGACCUUCAGAAAGUGCUCGAAAGGUUCUCGUUUGAUAAUAUAUGCAAGGUCGCGUUCGGCGAAGACCCCGGCUGUCUGUCCGCCGAAGGCUUCGCCGGCAGAAAUUUUGAAUUCAUGCAGGCUUUCGAGGAGGCGCAGAACAUCGUGAUCGGCCGCUUCAUGUCGCCGGUGAUGUUACAUAUAUAAAAAAUAUUUAAACAUCGUUCUCUAUCUAUCUGCUCGAACUUUUUAUAGAGAAUAACGGCUGUUUCGUAUUAUUUUUAAAUAAGCAGUUGCGAGUCGCAUGGAGGGUCAAGAAGCUGUUCGACGUCGGGUCGGAGAGAAGGCUGCGAAAAUUGAUGGCGACGGUGCACGGCUACACAGCGGAGAUCGCCGUCCGGGCGAGGCGGGAGGGGACCGGCGCUUCUUCAGAGCAGAAGCGCGACCUCCUCUCGCGGUUCGCCUCCGACGAAACACACUCGGGUUUGUUCUUCGGAAUAAAUCAUUUUCAUUGUUAGUAUUUGAAUGGAGAGACUGAUAUUUGAAUUCUUACUCUGGAGAAAUUCAAUCGGAGAAUUUUUUUUUUUUUUUGCGAAUAAUAUUUGAAUUUAAAUAUGAAUUAUCUAAAUUUACUAGGUUAAAUCAUAAUUUUAAUAAAUUUAAAUUUUGAAUUUUUGACUUUGAGUUUAAAUUUGAAUUAAAAAUUUUUACGUUCGCAUUGUAAGUUUAAAUUUGGAUUCGAAUUUUGAAUAACGAAUUUAGAUUUUAACAAAAAUUAAUUUUUUUGAAUAUUAAUUUGAACAUGAUUUCGAUUCUGAUUUCGAUUUUUUUUUACGAAUCAAAUGAAUCGAUAGUUCUAUCAUUCUGUUUUCGAUUCCGGCCUGUUUUCAUUUCUAUUUCGAUUUUGAUUCCUCACCUGAACCACCACACUUGUGCUCAGAGGAGUUCCUCCGCGACGUCGUGACCAACUUCCUCCUCGCCGGCCGCGAGACCACAUCGUCGGCGCUCACGUGGUUCUUCUGGCUCGUGUCGGCGCGGCCCGACGUGCAGCGGAAGAUAGUCGACGAGCUGCGAUCGGUCCGAGCUGCUGCCGUCGACCGAAUGCUCGGUUUUGACGAGCUGCGGGAGAUGCACUACCUGCACGCGGCGAUAACGGAGUCGAUGAGGCUGUACCCUCCGGUGCCGAUGGACACGCAGUCGUGCAGGGAGGACGACGUCAUGCCCGACGGAACGUUCGUGGGGAAAGGAUGGCAGGUGAGUUACAGUGCUUACGCAAUGGGAAGACUGCCGGAUAUCUGGGGGCCGGAUUGCGAGGAGUACCGGCCGGAGCGGUGGCUCGAGGACGGGGUUUUCCGGCCGGAGAGCCCGUUCAAGUAUCCGGUGUUUCACGCCGGGCCGCGAAUGUGCUUGGGGAAGGAGAUGGCCUACAUACAGAUGAAGUCGAUCGUCGCUUCGGUGCUCGAAAGGUACCAAUUCCAAGUCGUGGGGAAGGACGGCUCGCCGGAGAGCAUUCUUUCUUUCACUCUCAGAAUGAAGGGGGGCUUGCCGGUUCGAUUUCAAAAGAGGGACGAGUAAAAGUACGUGAGAUUAUUUCAUCCAUGUUCAUCACGUAAACGAUACGAAUCUAAAAGCAGAAUGCGCUCAGUGCUUAGGAGGAGAAUGUGAGCAAUUAAUGCAAUUUUGCUUUGGAUGAAAUGUUUUGAGUUGUUUUUAUGUAAAAUUAAAUUUUAUGUUUGGCUAAAUAUUUGUAUGAUUUUACCAAGAACCUACAAUUGGACUACUAGCAGAAACCAGUAUAUACCAAGAGUUAAAAUAUUCGGAGAGAUCCCCCAACUAUAUGCUGUUUUGAAAUUUGAAAUACACCUGUUAACUAUUUUUAUUUUGAUUUACAUUCAUGAACUUUUGAUGCUUUUUUUUUAAAAAAAAUUCAGGUUACUUCGAAAGCUGGGUUAGAAAUUUUGCUAAAUUGAGCAAUUAUUCAUUCAAAUUUACAUAUUUUCAGCUAGUAGAACUGUAGAUUUUGAUAAUUAUUAUUAACAGUUGAUGCCCAGAAAACAGUAAAUUUUAGCAAAUCCUCAAUCCAAUAUAUGUAGCUAAACAACUCUAAAUCAAAACAACAACAACAACAACAACAACAAAUGGAAGUGAAAAAAUUAUUGUCUUAUUAUUCGACUCAUUUUACGGCCCAUCAUAUUCUUAUGGGCCUCACGAUUCCAUUGUUAGGCCAGGCCUGUUAGUAACUAAGAUCUGAUGGGCCGAACGGUUUCUAUUAUAUAUGAAAUACUAUCAUGCUACUUCUUCUGCUGUGCUCGCUACGACUGCACCAGAAAAAAAUAAAAAAAAAAAAAUUAAAAUUCGAAUAAUUUUCACCUUUUAUUUUUUUAUUACAAAACUUAACAAAGUAGAAUGGACAUACACAUCUACAUGAAUUCGAAGAAUUUUUCCAAUUUGAUUUGUAUCAAAUAUUUGCUCGAUUUGGUUUCAAAUGGCUCUUUCGGUGGAAUCGAACAUGAACCUUUAUAUGAAAGAAGAGAACUUUCUGCUCUGAUAUCAUAUUAAACAACCUACGUCAUAUAGAGCUAAGAUCAAUAUUUUAAUAUUUUAUGUUCGACGCUUUAUUUUUAAGUAUCUGUAGUUACUUAACUAUAUAUAAGUUCUCUUUUUAAAGAUUCUUACUUUCAAUUAUUCUCAAAACUUCCAGGAAUUUGAAAGAGGAGAACAAAUUCUAGUCACCAACCCUAUUAAUUAGAUAAUCAUUGUUGAUAGGGCUAACUCUUGUGUAUCUCAUCCUAAGCAAUUAUAGGAUAUUGUAUCUUAAGAAAAAACUAUAUAGGACCAUUAGAUCUUACACAAACCUAACAACAUGAGAGAAAAAGUACCAACAUGUAGAUAACUAAUUCCUCUUUAUUGGUAAUUAGAAUUUUUUUGGAAAAGUUGAACUAAAAGUGAUUUUCUUUUAGGGUUUUUUUUAAUCUUUUCUUUUUUGUGAAUCCGAAUCAUAUUUUGCUUGUCAUUCACCACUACUACGUUCAUGUUUAUCUCAUUUACAGAGAGAGAGAGAGAGAGAGAGAGAGAGAGGGAAUAUGUUUUUCUUGUUGAUACAUUCAUGUUUGUCUCACCCUUUCAAAGGUUUUAUUUCUGCAAUUCACUAUGUUUGUAGGGACGUGUAUGCAAAUAACCCUUUUUUUUUUUGUUGCUUAACGUUCUAAACGUCGCAUGUACUGGCACGUAAUACGAAUUGCAUAUUUCAUAGAUUUUUUUAAAUAUUUUUUUAACAUACACAAUUUAUUUAUUCAAAAAAAUUUGAUAUAGAAUUUUUUAUACACUAUCUAUAAUAGGAUCAAUAUCUCUGAUCGAAAAUUUUAGUGCUAUAUCACCGUUUUUUAUAGAAUCUUUAUUUUUAGCUGUUGAUGUUAAAUCUUUUCGAUUGCUAGAUAAAUUAUAUCGAAAAGUCACAAAAAAUAUUUUUCUAAAAACUUUAAAUACGCUAGAUCAAUCUAACGAAGUCAAUCGUCGAUUCGAAAAUUCCAUCAUCGAAAUGGUUUUGGAGCGCGAAGGCCUCUGUGUUCUUAAGAGCAUAUCAACCCUGCUCUCUCUCUCUCUCUCUCUCUCUCUCUCUCUCUCUCUAUAUAUAUAUAUAUAUUAGUCCGACUACUAUACUAUCGAUAGUAUCAAGCCCUUGAUACUAUUGAGUUUUCUACCGUUAGAUCUACCCUUUGAUCAUUUCCACCCGUUAGAUUAUACUAUUAAACCAACCACCCACUCAACCCUAGAGGACCACUAUCAUUCUAACCGCACAUCUUUUCGUCCAACAGCUGAAAACUCAAUAGUACCAAGGGCUUGGUACUAUUGAUAGUAUAGUAGCAUAAUUCUAUNGGGUUAUUGUUUUGUUAUGCUGAAUAAUUAUCAUUACAUAUUAUGAGUUAAUUAGUGUAUAAUUCUACAUUUCAUUUCUAAUCUAUUAUUAGCAACAGGCCUUUUAAGUAUAACAAAACAAUAAAUAUGGAUCGAUAUGUAGUUAAAUGCAACAGCCAAAAUAAGUGUAGGUGCACUAAACUACAACAUACAACAUAAUUAAAUUGUUAAUUAAUAUUUGUUUAUUUCAAAAUACCACUCAAAUAGUACGCAAUCAACAAUACUAUAAAAUACAGUAUAAAACCAAACAUGCUUUAGAAUUAUAUGUAUGAUAUAAUCCUUAUUAUGAUCUUUCAUAAAAACGAGGUUACACUACUAAAGUUAUUCGGAAAAAAAAAGAGAAAGUAAUACUAUCUUGAAUCAAAACCAUCCUUUCCCAAAGAGUUUCUCACUAAUUAUUAUUGGCUUUGGAAAGUUCAUUUCAGCUUUGUAAUUUUUUUUUUAAAGUAGUAUAUUUAUUUAAUUAGUCCUUAAUUUAACUCGUAGUGAACGGAUAUGAUCUUAAUCAAAGGGUAACUCUUAUUGAGUGAAUGUGAAAGGAUGUAAUUUUUAGCUUGGACACAAAAAAAAUACGACUUUAUGGUGUGUCCCUUCAUACAUAUGUCUGUUGAAAUUAACUUUUACAUAUAUUAAAUUUGACCUAUAUGCAUUGAUCAGGCAGUAAAAAAGACACUGUUAAUAAAUUGAAAGUUAUUAUCAAAUGAAAAGUCAUAAAUUAAAAAGUCACUUCACAAGACGCUCAUUCAUAAAUUGUCUUAAUGAAGCACGCGUUUGUGGUUUAUAUAAGUCCAUAACGUUGAUUGUUGAUAAGUUUAAGUUUUUAUUCAUAAUUUGUUUUUAAAAAAAUUUUAUUCUGUGUUUUUCGACAACUUAAUCGAGUGAGCGCUCAAACGCCUGACUUCGUGUAUGUAAAUGCACUUAGGGUUAAUACUUCAUUAGAUCCUGAGAGUAUAUUCGUUCACCCAAUGCACAUUAUCUUAUUCGAACAGUAACAACGGAUUUAAGUCUGAAGUAGAAUGACUUUGUCACAUGUAUUAUAAAGUCUUUUUCGUCUUUCUACCUCAUAUAUUCUGUACUUAUUGCUACAACAAGCUUCUAUCACACAAGAAAUAAAAGCUUUAGAUUAUUCUUUUCAUUACAUGUAACUUGCAACAGCUGUUGCAUUAAAAGCUUUCAUAAUUGAAGCUUUAUUACAUGAACGCUUAAGUGCGCGGCUACCGGAAAAAGCGCUUAACUUAACCCCUCAAAGAAGCCAUGUGAGCACUGUAAUGUAAACUAAUUCACAGUGGGCCAUGUCCUUAAUUUCUUUUAUAUAUGGGUUUAGUGUUUUGAGAUGAAUAAUGUGUUUGCUUUUGAGCCACCAUUAAAUUUUUCUCUAAAGAAGUUGCUUUACGAGGUGUCAAGGCGUGGUGUUUUUAAGUUGCUAUCUGUUUGGCUCUGCUACAAAAUAUAAUGUUAUCGAAUGGAUUACUGUCGAAAUGUCACUAUACAUUAUAUUUUUAAUAGCUUUUUUAAUUCUGCUACAAAAUUAGAAGCAUCAACUAGAAUUUCUUACUUUCGAAGCUCAAUAUCUUAUUGCCAAGCUCUUUCUCUGAUUUUAUAUUUUUCUUUUUAUUAGACGCUGUUCUUAGAUGCUACUUAGUUGCUGAUCAAUAUUGUUGAUCAUACUAUCGAUACCGACAUCUUCAAAUGGUGGAAAGGAGCCCUUUGUCAUACCGAUAUCUUCAAAUGGGGACUAGAAUAUAAAUUAGGGAAUGGAUAUACUAUUGAUUUCUGGUCUGAUAAAUGGUGUGGGGAGAAGGCCUUGCAGAUGGCCUACCCGGAGGUAUACGAUUUGGCGGAAUGCAAGACCGCUAAAGUCAAGGAUUGUUUGGGAAGUGAUGGCUGGAACUGGAAUGCGAUACUAGGAGGCGAUGGCGGUGGUAGUUAGGGCUUGUGCUCUUCGUGGUCAGAGUUUAAGGAUCAUAUCUCUACCUGCACAGGUGAUCAGAACCCUGAUAUGUACGAUACUUUGGAGGUGGGACCCUGGGGGGCGUUUCUCAGUUAAGUCGAUAUACUCUACGCUGAUGGAUGGAGGCACGAGGGAUGCCCGCGCAAACAAGCUAUGGAGGCUUCGAGUAUCCUUAAAAGUUAAGGUGUUCUGCUGGCUCGCCCUUAAAAAGAGACUACUUACAAUUGACAAUCUACUAAAAAGAGGGUGGAGUGGUGACACGGCUUGUGUUCUAUGCGGAUCUGAAGAGGAGACUGUGGACCAUUUGUUCUCAGCUUGUGUCUUUGCUAAAUUCAUUGUUGUGAUGGCAGUGGAGGGUGGUCAGGUUUGGGAUUCGGGAGACGGUGUUCAUGGGGUUUGGGAGAGAUGGGCGAGUAUGAAGAGCUCGCAUUCUACGUCUACUAGACUUCAGGAAUUAGCGGCUUGUUGGUGGAUCAUUUGGGAGAGCAGGAACGAUGCGAUCUUUAGACCGAAUCAACUCUAAGAGCUGUCCGUAAGGUUAAAAGUUUGUCGGGGGAUUGGGCACAAUAUCUGUAGAAUGUAAGGAUAAUAGGUUAAUAGAUUUUUUUAUUUUUAUUUUUAUUUUUUUUUAAGACCCAGUUGCCUCACUUCUGUAGCCUAAUUCAUCCGUUCAAUGAAUGAAGCGGGUAGCAUGCUACCUUAUUCUAAAAAAUAUAUAUAUAUAUAUUGUUGAUCAUUACUUCAGUCUUAUUUGAUAAAAUAAAAGUAUUUUUUAUAACAGAUAUUUUAUAUUGUAAUAAUAGGACUUGACCAAGUAUUCUUUUUAUUUUACAGAAAAGAUCCCUUGUAUUUUAACACUUGUCUUAAUUUUAUCCUACUUUAAAAAUCGCAUCAAUUACUCUCCUACAUUUGGCCUUUAUUUCAAAUAAGUCCAAAUAUUUCGAUGAUUGCUAAAUUUAGUUAUAAAAGUUUGUAAAAACAAGUUAGUUAAUUUAUAAUAAUAUAAAUUAACUAAACUUGCUUUAAAAUUGCAUAAUAAAAUAUCAAUUUUGAUAAUAUUAGUAAUUGUAAUUUAGCCCUUAUGUUAUAUAAAAAAACAAAAAUAUAUUUUAUCAAAUAUAUAUAUUAUAAUGAAUAUUUCCUUAUAAAGAAGAAACAUUAAAAAAAAAAAAAAGGGAAUUGAAAUGGUCCCCGAGGUGAGUGGAGAGAAGAGUUUUAGAACUAUUUUUGGAUCUUUGGGAAUAUUUAAAAAUUAAAAAUAUUUAAGCUGUAAUGCAACAUGAAUCACAAUGAUAACGUGGGCAUGUUCAUGGUUAAUUUGGUGGCAUAUAUAUUGUGCUUCCUAGCUAGGAAUGCAAUGUACAUUGCCUUAAUUAAUUAAUGAUCAAGAGGAAUCCCCACCAUGAUGAUUAUUAUUUGUUAUUUCUUUUUUUUUUUUGAGAAAUAGGUAGCAAGCUACCUGCUUCAUUCAUUAAGUAAAAUGAACUGAGCGUAUAGAGAUGGAAGCAGCUUGGGCCUCCGAGAAGUGCAAAAAAUAAAUGGCAAAGGCAAAAGGGGCAAAGAAGGAGAGAAGGAAGAGGAGAGGGGAGAAGAGUGAAUUUAUUGUCGUUUCAGGUCAGCACGGUCUAGUCGGUCGUAAGAAGGUUAACUCGUUCCACAUCGGGCGGAGUAGCCCGAAAAACGGAGUUGUUCCUAUCCCUCCAUACCACCCACCAGAUCGCAGCAAGAAGGGUUAGCCCUCGCAUUCGCGACGAAUCGACUAGGCAGGCAGCUAAAUAGGUCCAAAGUGAACGGACAUCGCCAAGGGCUUCGUUAGGUAUGUCCAGUCCAUCCACGCUGAGAAAUAUGUAUCGGACAUAUACACAGUUACAGAAGAGGUGGUCGCAGCUCUCCGUUCCUACUACGCAGAAGACGCAUUGUUGGUCCACAGGUAUGCCUCUUUGGAGCAGUCGGUCAGCAGUGAGAAGUCUCUUCCGAAGUAGUAUCCAAAUGAAGACUCUGAUUUUAAGUGGAGUUUUUAAAUGCCAAAUAUAUCUGCUCAGCGGGGUUUGUAGUCCCGCAUAAGUAAGGAACUGGUAGAGGAAUUUGACGGAAAAAAUUUGGUUGGCUGUCCACCUCCAUUUUAAUAAGUCUGGUCCGGCACAAGGAGAGCGGUGAAGUAGCAAGUCUUUAAGCAUCGUUAGCCGUGUGCGUCGAUCAGCGGAAUUGCUUGUUGAGAAACCGCCGCAGAUGAAUCGCCAUCGCCAUCUCCAUCCAUUUGCUUUCCAGCACUGAGAUAUUCUGACAUCCUUGUUUAUGAUAGCCGUAUAGAUAUCUGGGAAAUGGGUCCGAAGGGGGGUUUCUCCGAUCCAGAUAUCGGACCACAUCCUUAUAUUCUGGCCAUCACCUAGGUCGUAGGUUACGCCGCACUUGAAAAUUUUGCGGCAUCGUACCACUCCUUUCCACCACUGCGAGUAAGGGGAGUAAGCUCUACCCUCAUGUAGGGGCCUUCGUCUAGCGUAGUACAGAGAUCUGAUUAGUUUGCACCAGUGCAGGUUUGGCUCGUUGAAGGAUCGCCACCACCAUUUAGUCAAGAGGGCCGUGUUCAUGGAUUCCAUGUCCUUGAUGCCUAAUCCGCCCUCUCUCUUGCUUUUGCAGAUGGCUUUCCAGUUGACAAGACAAGCACCACUGGCGAUUUUGGAGCACCCUUUCUAGAAGAAUACUCGUCUUAAGGUUUCGAUUCGAUGUAGGACCCACUGUGGCGCUUUGAAGAUUAAAAAGAAGAAUAGUGGUAUGUUAGAGAGGACCGAGUUGACGAGCGUAAGCUGUCCCCCAAGGGAGAGUAAUUUGGCUUUCCAUCCUUCUAUUCUUGCCUCUAUGCGGUUAAUGACCCAAGCCCAGUCCUCCCUGCGGAGUUGCUUGUUGUGUAGUGGCAUCCCCAGGUAGCGGAAGGGUAGCUUUCCAACUUUGCAGCCUAUGAUGUUGGCUAGUCUCUCGGCUUUGCGCGGGUUGGACCCGAUGUAGUAGAAUUAUGAUUUGUCCAGGUUGAUUUUAAGGCCAGAGGCCCAAGCAAAGAUUUUUCAAACGAACUGCAGAUUCCGCAUACAGCUUUUCCUUGGCUCACAGAAAAAUAUUGUGUCGUCAGCGUAUUGAAUGAGUACAGUCUGGCAGUCGUCGGAUGGUCCAAUUCCACGUAAGAGGUUGUUUCCUCUCGCAGCCUCCGUUAUCCUGGCCAGGCUGUUUGCUACUAGUAUAAAUAGAUAAGGAGAGAGAGGGUCCCCUUGUCUUAGCCCCUUCCUAGCUUUUAACCAAUUAGGCGGGGUAUCAUUAACUAGGACGGCCAUUUUAGCGUUACAGAUACAUUGUUCGAUCCAGCCGCACCAUUUGUCAGAAAAACCUAGCUAAUGCAGAACACUCUUUAGGAAAGACCAUCUGACAUUGUCAAAAGUUUUCUCGAAGUCGACUUUAAUGCUUGCACAUUCCAUCCCAAUUUUAGAACACCAGUUUAUUAGUUCGCUUGCGGUGACGAACAAGUCGGCCAACAGCCGGUCUUUGAGAAAGGCCGAUUGCGUGGAUUUGUUAUUUCUUAAAUAUUAUUUGUUGUGGGUUAAAAGAAGCGCCACGAUUGUUGUAUAACUUAAUUUAGUUGAGUAAAUAUUCAUAUAUCACUAACGUCAAAGUAAUACAGCAGUGUUAUGUUUAAUAAUACGUCAAUAAUUAAAAUAUCAUAUUAAUUUUAUAUCAGCGAUAUGUCAAUAUCUAGUCAACUAAACUAAAUUAUGGGUUUUGAGUGUAGCAAUUCAGAAAAUUUUAGCUAAAAAAAUUAAAGGUUGAAAACUAACAAUAAAAUAAUUUGAAAUAAUCAUUACUUUUGAUCUUUUUAUAUUUUUACAUUUUUAUAUCUAAUAAAAUAUUAUAUUCUUCAGAAUGGGAGCAUCCUUAUCCAAAUGUUCCACCAGCCUUUGAUCGAGCAAUCUCAUCCGUCCAUCUCUCCCAUCAUGCGGUUCACACAAAAGCAUCCCCAGGAAGGGAAAAAGCCUGCACCAACACACUUGCACCGCAUCAUCAGUAAUAAAUUAAUUAUAUUUUUUUAUUUGAGAGAAAAGUAUAAUAAAAAUAUUUUUUUAUUAAUUAUAUUGAUUAGAUAUAUCAACUCAAAAAAAUAAUUUUAUUAAUUGAAAAUGACACGUCAGUAAUAUGCUCGUGCAUUCUAGAUUUCUUUUUCCGGAAACGGGUCGCCGCGUCCCAACGCGGCCGCACCCAACCACGCCCCAACAACUCGCGCACCCACACGCCGCGUCAGCGCGCACCGACCGGUUCGGACCGGUUCUAGACCAGAACCGAACCGAACAGGACUGGACCGGACCGGGCAGCGUCGGUGCUUCUCGGAUCGCCGCCCACUAUGGCUCUGCGGGUGGGCCCACAAGAAUAUGCGAAUGAGGUGGAUAGGUAAAAAGUGUAUAGAGACCCCCUAAAUUAUGGGUAUUGAGAAAUUGUCUCCUCUAUUUUUUUUUUUUAGAAAAAAUUACAUAUGGUUAAUUUCUUGUUUUUAAAAUUUAUUUUCAGUUUUAUUUACCAAAAAUUAUUAUGAAAUAUUAAUAAAUUUAAUAAAAUACUUAAUUUAUUUGAGUACAAUUAAUUUAAAAAAGUUUGAGGGUUCAGCGUGCAUAUUUCCCAAAUGGAAUAUUCAGAACCCACCAAUCGGGCCCCACCUUACUCAUAAUACAACAAUGUAAAUUUCCACAAAUGCCCUCCACCAUCCUACUAUAAAUAUGUUCCACAGGCUCACACAUUUCCUACACAGGUGAUCACAACAAGCUUAAGUAGCUUGAGCUCUUCAUCUCUCUCUCUCUUUCUCUCUCUCCUUUGGUACAAUUUCUUUUAUACUAGUUGAUCAUGGCGAUCGGCAGGCGCUGCGGCGAUCUCUUCCGGAAGAUGAAGCCCUACAUCGCGAUGGUAUCGCUCCAGUUCGGCUAUGCGGGGAUGAACGUGAUCACGAAGGUCUCGCUCAACCACGGCAUGAGCCACUACGUGCUGGUCGUGUACCGGCACGCCUUCGCCACCCUCUCCAUUGCCCCCUUAGCUCUCAUCCUCGAGCGGUAUUGAUUAGGGACCUAAACUUACUACAUUUUUGUACAUAGCGUUCACGAAUCUCGAUGGUACCAAAUUCGGCCUUCCGUCACAUAGCACAUGAACAAAUUUGCAGCAUACGAUAAUCGAAUCCAUGACAUCAUGAUACUACUUAAUUGUUGGAUCAUGUGCGGUAACCAUUAAUCUCAAAAUCUCAACUGUUAGAAAAAUCCAACCAAUUUACUUAAAAACAUAUAGACACAGUGUCCACGAGUCUCGAUUAUCAGUAGUCCAAUCUAACCUCCCUCUAUUUCUCGACCUAUCCUAACCUCCGCUGAUCUUUUUAAGCCAACAAGUUUGCGCUUAACUAAGUGUGUCACUCUUUAUUUUGCAGGAAGGUGAGGCCUAAGAUGACGCUCAAAAUAUUUUUGCAAAUAUUUGUGUUGGCUCUACUUGGGUUAGUAUACAUAUAUAAACUUCAUGUUCAUACAAUUUUACUACUGAUCAUAUAUAUUAUACGUCAUGAAAAAUUUUGUUACUAAAUUAUGUUGUGUAUAUAUAUUUUCAGGCCUGUUAUAGACCAAAACUUUUACUACGCCGGAUUGAAGUUCACGUCCCCGACUUUCUCCUGCGCGAUGAGCAACAUCCUGCCUGCAAUGACCUUCGUGAUGGCCGUCAUAUUCAGGUCGAAUGGUCCCAGCAAAUUUAUAUUUAUGUACAUAUAUAUAUUUUCGUCGCGAGCUAAUUUGAACCUAACAAAUUGCAUGCGCGUAUACAUAUAGGAUGGAGAAAUUGGACAUGAAGAAGAUGACGUGCCAGGCGAAGGUGGCGGGGACGCUGGUGACGGUCGUGGGCGCGAUGCUGAUGACGCUUUACAAGGGACCAAUAAUGGAGAUGGUUUGGACCCGGCACGGCCAUUCGCACGGCGCGGCGGAGGCGCCCGGGAGCUCCGCCGCGGAUCCCUCGAGCAGGGAUUGGUUUUUGGGCUCCAUGUUCCUCAUCAUAGCUACCUUGGCUUGGGCUUCUCUCUUCAUCCUUCAAGUAAGCUUCAUGUGUGUGUAUAUGUUGAAAAUGAGUGAUGUGUUUUAGUCACCAUUAAUGCAUCAUGUUUUAUGAUCAAAUUGUGUUUUGUGCAUGUGUGUGUGUGUAUGUGUAGGCUGUGACAUUGAAGCAAUACUCAGCUCAACUCUCUCUCACUACAUUGAUAUGUUUUGUGGGCACUCUCCAAGCUAUUGUUGUCACCUUUGUGGUGGAGCACAAGCCCUCCGUUUGGACCAUAGGAUUCGACAUGAACCUCCUUGCUGCUGCUUAUGCUGUUAGUCUCUCUCUCUCUAUAUCUCUCUCUCUCUAAAAACUUAAAACUACCAGAGAACGGUGUUUUAAUCAUUACUCAAAACUCCCUCUCCCCGUGAGUGGAUUUUGACAGUAAACUUGUGACACCCCAAUAGCCCUACAUCGAAUGGGAAUGGAGUUGUCAUUUGGUAUAUAAGAGGUCACCGUCUUAGUAAUAAUAACCGAGUUUAAGUAUUUUGGGCCGAUGGCCAUGGCUUUUUACAAAACAGGACACGCCAGUCCACUAGAAUCCCACUGGUAAGGCGUAGGGUGGAGAUGACACACUAAACAAUCGUUUUUCUCCGAAAACUUAUGGUGAUUUGUUGCUAUAUUUUUGCAGGGCAUUGUGACAUCUAGCAUUGCUUACUAUGUCCAAGGGCUAGUGAUAGAGAAAAGAGGGCCAGUGUUUGCCUCAGCAUUUAGCCCACUGAUGAUGAUCAUAGUUGCUAUUAUGGGAUCUUUUAUCCUUGCAGAGAAAAUAUAUCUUGGAGGGUAAAUACUAUCACCAUUUUUACAACCCAAAUUGAACCACUUUUAUUUUCCAAAACUUUGAUUAACAUUUUCUUCUUUUUUUAAAAAAUUUUGAUGCAGUGUUCUUGGAGCUGUGUUGAUUGUGAUGGGACUGUACUCAGUGCUCUGGGGUAAAUACAGAGAGAACAAGGAGCAAAAGGAGAAUGAAUCUAUGGCUUUACCCAUGGCCUCAAAGGGAGGUAAUGUGGGGUGUGGGUUGGAAAUGUUUACCACAGAGGUGAUUAAUGGAGCUGAGUUGGAGAGCAAAAAACCCAGUGACAUGAACUCCACUUGCAAUGGAAAAGCAAUUAAUGGAGCUAGUGCCCAAAUUGGCCAAGUUCCACUCAAUCAAGAAGCUGCACCAAAAAGCUAACUCAUUUUGGUAUUUUUAUCCACUGCUUUUUCUAAUAAGGAGAUUUAUGUAUGCUGACAAAGUAAGAGGAAGGGGAGAACAAAUGAAGAAGCAAGUGAUAAUUAAAGAGCAAUGAAGAGUAUUUUUUUUGUUGUUGUAUUAGACUACUAAUUUAUCUACUUACUUUGUAUGAGGAAAAAAGAGAAUGAAAAAGAGAAAAGGUGUUUUUAAUUUUACUUUUCCUCCUUUCUUUUUGGGGCUUGAAGUGAAAGAGAUUGUGGGUGUGUGUGUGUUCAUGUAAGCAAUGGGAGUUUGAAUUGAAGUAAUUUUCAGGGUUAUGUAUCCCUCUUGAACAUUAAUGCUACCACUUCUCAAUUGGAGUCCAUGGAUAACAAUUUGGAUGAAAAUAAUAUCACUUUUUUUGUAUCUUCCUUCGCAUCUGGACUCGAGAUAUCUGAGUAUGUGCAAGACGCAGAAUUGAUUAAAAGUUAGAAAAUUAAAUUAACUGAAAUUAGGAGCCCAGCGAAACUCGAAAUCAUAACCUCCGGCCCUGAUACCAUAUCAAAACACUGUUAAACAAAUUAUAAUGUCCAUCCAGUGGGAUCACAUUGAUUUUCUGAGAGUGAUUCUCUAUGUUUAAAAUUCACCACAGCUAAUUUGUUCCAUCAAUUGGUCAAUUAUUUUCAUUGAGAGCUAAGGUGGGGGUUUUGACUUGGAGAGAAUUAAGGUGAUGGUGAUUGCUGUAUCCUUCAUAAAUCAAUUCUCAAAUAAAUUAGCCAACAAUGAUAAGUAGCAUAUUUAUCAUGAUGAUAAUUUUCAGAUAAAAUAAAAGAAAACACACUCCUGAGCCACAAACUAGAUAAUGUGUGCCCUGAGUUUGAUAAUCUUCAUUGUCAGUAUAUAUACUGUCAAAUUUCACUUCAUAAGCAGGUGUUUAUGGAUCUGAAAACAAGAUUCUAAUUACAUGAUAUAUACCUGCUGCAAGUAUUUGGUUUAUUAAAAUUGGCAAAUCCAGAUCAAAUUUUACGACUUUCAAAAUUUAAAAAAGAAAAGAUCUCUUCAAAAUCAUCUUAUUAGAAUUAUUUUUCAGAGAUGUUAUGGUUAAUUCCUUGUAUUGUACUUCAUAAGUCACAUUGAUGCACACCAAAACUGAUGAAACACAUUGUAAGGCAAAAAUGUUGUUUCAUGCAUCAUCUCUGGUUAGUGAACUCAUAAAUUCAGAAGAGAAAUUCCACCAAAAAAAAAAAAAAAAAAAAAACAAUUAGGGAACUCAACAAUAAUGUUUGCUGUAUCUCAUUUUAAUAUGAUCGUAUACUCGCAUCACAGACUUUUUUUUUUUUUUUUUCCAUUUUUCUCUGCAAUGUGAUUAUCUGCAAAACCGAAGCAGCAUAUUCAGAUACUUUGUUCAAAAAACAAUUGCCAAAAUUCUGAUCAUGAUGCAUGUCACUCUCAAUAGUUUUAUAAACACCAUUAUACGUGGAGUAGUACUUUAACAUAAAAAAAAAGGAAUAUCUAAAGCACUUAGCAACAGAGCCACUUAAGGACAUAUAUUAUUAAACCUUUCAUGGAUCACACCGAUAAGGCGAAAAAGGCGCGCCAUGCGCGAUCCAUGCGACAACGAUUCUCCGCAUAUUUUUGUUCCUCCUAACAAAACUGUUUUGCUAUCUUUUUCUCGCUCGGAUCUCUCCUUUUGCAGAUUCACAUGAAUGCAGCAUAUAGCCUUUACGCCAAACUCGAGUGCUUCUUUUCGACAUAUCUUAAAUCGGAUUCGGCAUUCGAUCCAUCUAUAAACUGCAAGUUCAUGUACAAAGUUCAUGCACAAUGCAUGGGACAUGCCCCUACCAGUUGCAGAAACUUUAUCUUAGUAGGAGAAAGAGAGAGAUCACUUUCACUUUCAUAUGAAGUGUGACAACAUUGAGUACUCAAGUGACUCCAUUACAUGAUUCUAGAGAAAAAUAAAAAUAUAAAAUAAAAGAAAAGAGAUGCUUUUAUAUAUGCAGCCCAUAUAUAAUGCAACACACAAGGCACAAUAAGAGAGGCCUUUUCACAUCCACCAUAACAAGUUGUAUCCUCUUGGGCUACUUACUCAGAGAGCACUGAGUGAAUAAAAGAUUAACUUUUUGCGCGCCUAAAAAAUGAAAGAAUAAUUCAUUACGUAAAAAGAUAUCAAAUAAUAAAUAUAUUCCUAUAAAAUUUAAGUUAUCAGAUUUAUCCCUCCAGAAAUUCUUCAGUCUGUAUAUAUAUCCUUCUGUUACCAAAAGUUAGAUAACCAUGAUGUUAAAAAAAGCUAACCAACGUAAAAUAACUUUUCCUCCUUAUAUUUAUAUAAUUUGUAUUUCAAUGUUGAGUCGCGUCAUCUUCCUCACUCUCUCUUCGUUCUCCGUGGCAAUGACGAGACCUGCAAUGGCACAGCGAAGGUGAGGGGAGAAAAAAAGAAAAAUAAUUUUUUACAAAAACAAAUUUGUAAGGACAAAUAAGGACGUAUAUGAACGAACUAGAAUUUUUGGAAGGAUAUAUUUGCAAACCAGAGAAUUUUUGAAGGGAUAAAUCUGAUAACUUAAGUUUUGUAGGGAUAUAUUAGAUGUUUGAUACUUUUGUAGGGACUCAUAUGAAAUUAACCCAAAACUAAAAUAGAAGGGUGCUUAGAAUGAGAUCCCAACACCUAACGUCACUAGCUUUUUAGAGAUGUUUAAUUUAAGCAACACAAGAUUCAUUUGUGUUAAAUGCAAAGUGUGUUGGAUUGGCAACAACCAAAAGGAAAAAAAAAAACCUACUCAGAUCUUUUUUUUUUUUUAAGAAANGAAUCAUGGGUGUGACCAAGCACACACAAUUCCAGUUAAAGCAGCAACAAUUGAGAUCAUCUUUGGUGACAAUUCACAAGAUGAAGUGGCAGUGUCCAUUUGGGCAUUGUAUAAAAAUAAGAGAAUUUAUUUUAUAUUAUAUAUAUAUAUAUAUAUAUAUAUCAUAUUAUUUUAAUAGCAAAGACCUUCAUUUUUUUCGCAAGCCAGAGAGGCUUUUGUUUUUUGUUUUUUGUUUUUUUUUUUUGAGAGAGAUAGAUAGCACGCUACCCGUUUCAUUUAUUUCAUUUAGAAAUAAACUUAGCUGGAAAUGUUUAAGUUAUGUUGUUUUAUGGUCGAGGACGCGACGAAACUAAGUAGCAUAGAGACUUUUCAGUUUCAGAGAGGAGCAGUUCAUCCAAAAUCAUCGAAUUUGGAACAACUUUUAGGCCAGAUUCUUUAUUUAAGAAGCAAAAGACAGUAGGCAUUUACCUAAAAAAAGCAUUCUGUAGAGCAUCCAAAAGUAGAAUUUUCAAUUUGGCCAAUUGAGCUUUGAGAGAUUUGUUUUUUCCAUUUAAAAUUUGUAAUAGCACUUUCUAUAAAAUUUUUCUACACACGCAAGUUAGGCAUAAUCCCCUAGCACAACUCAUUUAUUGGAUUAAAGCUUUAUUUCUAUUUUGUUGCUUUUGUAUCUAGUGUUAAAUGUGUAGCUCUAUCGAAUUGAUUUUUUUAGGUAACAUAAAAAUAUUGAGUAUAAAUAUUAAAAAUUCUGUCCUCUAGUAUAUUAAGAUUUUGGAGAAUAAUAAUAUAAUACUUCUAGAAUUUAGAAUAAUGCUAUAAAUAUAAAUAAGGUAUAGUGGCCUCUUAAUCGGAUUAUAAUAUUUUGAGCAUUGGCUAGACUGAUCCAAGAGGUUAAGAGAGGAUGACCUUUUCCUGAAAAGUGGUGCAUUGCAGUUGAUAUCAGAACCAAUCACUAGCUGGAAUAAUGAUAUGAAUUUUAGGUGCGCUAAGAUCAUACAGCAGGCAGAAUGCGACUCCUUAGUUGACAAUCGUUAUGGGUGGUGCGUGGCUUUCCACAAGAUCAACUAAGGCUAGUGAGAUAGUCUCACAUUGUUUAGAAAUUGUGAGUGUGCUUGAGCUAGAGUGUGAAAAAAUUGAAAUAGUCCUAUAUAUAAAGUAUAGUACAACUAAACCUCUUAAUCCGACUAUAAUAUUUUGGGCGAUGAUUAGAGUCAAGAGGUUAAAAGGGUUAGUGUAGAACGCAGCGGAAGUAUUAGUUCGUACUUUUUGCGGAGCGAUUCGCGUAACAACUCGAUGAGCCCGGAUCGUUGAGGUUGAUUCACGUGUCCUUUGAUCGUUCUUAAUUAAAUCUUCUCACGUUCCAAACUCGCGAUGGAUCGAACUACAAACGAGCACGAUCACAAAUCCACCGUUUCACGUCCCUCUUAGAAUAAUAGGUUGAUGGAGGAUGUGAUUUUUCUCUUUCGUUUUCUUAUUCUCUUUUCUUUUUCCGUUCUUUCUUGUUCCUUUUUGUUAUGUGGGAUCGCCCGCAUAUUUAUGAGGGAUUCCAAAAUCCUAAUAGCGUUAGAGAUAAGGCCAAAUCGGUUAUUAAUUGUUAUCCUAAUACGACUAGAAUUUAUCUCUAACGAGCUUUCCAAUUUGAAAGCGAGAUUAAUUCUAAUCCAAUUAGAUAACAUAAUAUCCGUCGGAUCGAAUCCGCUUAUGGGCGUACCCAACAGUUAGUCAUGAGUGUCACAAAUGGUACGAAUGUUUUCGCUUUCAGGUUCUUUUUCGAUCCGAAGAUGACGUAAAGAUCCACGCAAAGAAGAUAAUAAAAGUGGAGAGAUAGGUGGAUGAGGCGAAUCGAAACAUUCACACGCAACUUUCUAUACCUCUCGCUACUUAGACAAAGUAAUUUAGACUAGUACUGUUUAGCCAAACAGUGUUUCCUCCAUUUUUUCUUUAAUUAAACUCAUCGAACUCUCGUUUAUGACAUGUCAAUGUUAUGCUAUUUUGUGGUGCAGCACCUUACACCUGCGAUCAGUUGCUUUCGCACUGCUGGUUUUCCAGGAUCGAUUGUUACACUUCAUGCGUGAUUGCGAGAUCCAUGAUCUCACUUCCUUUUCUUUUUCCUGCUUUUUUUGUGCCAUUUGGUUCUCCUCUCGACCGCAUGGCGGACGAUCGGAAACGAGCAAAACAAUGUGAUCUUUCGGGGUAGGUGCUCAAACCCGACAAUUCUGUGGUAGAGUAUUAGCCACCUCUUGAGCUCUUGGGAGGCGCUUCGCUGAGACCGUUGGACCGUUGGACCGUCGGAGGAGCUCUGUUGCUAUCUUUUUUGUUAUUUUUUCUUAAUGAAUAAAAUGGAUAGCUUGGUAUUUUUUUCUCUAAAAAACAAAGAAACAACUGGCUUAAAGAAACUGAGUUAUGGGAUAACCAAAUCUCUCGACACCUAAUAAUACUUAAAAGUGUUGGCUCAAAUGAAUAAGAGAAAUGCUAUUAUAUGUCUAAAAGCAAGCGGUUUUUUUCUUUUUUUGAAAUGAGCUUAGUUGAAAAUAUGAAGCAAUUAUUAAGCUUCGAAUUUGGAUACCAACCAUCAAAUCCUUUACCACUUGUGUUAGGAACGGCCAGUAACCUUUUAGAUUUUUAGUAUUAGAAAAAUAAAAGUAUGAUAAAACUAGUGUAAAAAAUUAGAUUUCUGAAUGAAAAUAGUGUAAAAUUUAUACCCAUUUAGUAUGUAGAUAGCAUUACUCAACGAAGACUAGUUUUUUUUUUUUUUUUUUUUUUUUUUGAGAGAGAGAGAGAGAGAGAGAGAGAAAGGUAGUAUGCUACCCGCUUCGUUUAUUUCAUUUAAAAAUAAACUUAGCUGGAAAUGUGAAUCAACUAGAAUUCGAAUCCUAGUUGAUUCACAUUUCCAGCUAAGUUUAUUUUUAAAUGAAAUAAACGAAACGGAUAGCGUGCUACCUAUCUCUCAAAAAAAUAUUUCUGAGUUUGCCUCUGCAACAAAUGGGCCGGGUGCGGGCUGCUACAAUUUCAAAAUAGUAUCCCAAUUUCGUCGGCCCAGUAAUAUGGGGCUAUUUCCUCUAAACCCUAAAUCCUCCUCCUACAAACACGCAUAUCCGAGUUCGAACCUGGUUCUUUAGGCACCAUAGCCCGGUUUCGGGUUGCGGUGUCUAAAAGUAUUUGCUUUCAUGCUUAUCUUUUUGUUGGCGGUUCGCACUACCAUUUUAUAUCGCUGGUUUCGAGAAAAUUUUAAGAGCAGGUGAUUUUAGACACAGUAAUUCCAAGCAAAAUCCAAAUUAGAUCCUCAGCUAUCUUCUAGAAUUGGAGUUAAUUAUAAACAUACUUUAACUAAUAUUAGCGACCGUAAUGUCUUCAUCAACGUUCAAACUAUUUUUGAGAAUGCGCACAACAUCACUCAAUUCUUACUCCAGUAUAUGAAAAAUAUUAUUUUCGAAUCAUUUUUCAAUAUUUUCGAUAAUAUGGUCCUAAGAUUUAUCCUAAUUUAUCAAAAUAUUAUUUAAGUACAAACAAAUAAUUAUUUAGUAAAUUCCUCUUUUUCGGAAAACAAAUAAUUGGCCAAAUGGGCCACAUCGGAUCAACCGAACAGGCCGGCCCAAACCCGGCCCAACUAAGCGAUUGGAGGUCAUUCUUACGUCCUCCGGAAAAACAAUCGAUGAAUUUGCGUACAAAAACUGACCGUUUCUAGCGCAAGUGAUAAAGAGUUUAGUAAUUGAUACCCGAGAUCGUAAGUUUAAAUUCUAAUUAAUUCACAUUUUCAGCUAAAUUUAUUUAUAAAAUAAAUAAACGAAGCGCGUAGCAUGCUACUUUAAACACUUUCAAUUUUAUUUUAUACAUGAAAAGAAUAAAUUUAUUAUGAGAAUCAUAUCAAAUCUCUUAUUUUAAAAUUAGACAUAUUCAUGUCGUGAUGAUUUUAAAUUUUUUUCAAUAAUUCCAUAUUGUUUUCGACAUUAUUCCAUUUUCCCAAACCCACAAAAAAAAAAAAAAAAAAAAAAAAGAAAUUUUUGUUGCGGGUCAAAGUACUGUGUCCCCUUACCAACUCCAUUUUAACCAGUGGGGUCCAUUCACCCUGAGGUGUCCAAAGAAUUAUACAAAAAUAAACUAUGAUAAGAAAGAUUAAAAAAAAAAAAAAAGGGAAAUUAUGCUUUUGGUCUUCAAACUACGAGGCGCGUAAUACUAUUGGCUUAGAAGGGCCAGUAUCUUAUUCUGUGAUAAAAAAUCGGAUUAGACUGAGUUAUGUUCGAAGUAGUAUGAGGUUAGUCAAGCCAAGUCACAAUUGGGACUUGUAGAUAUUGUGCCUGCACGCUCUAAAUAAAUUAAUUGCGUAUUUCUAAUAGUUCGGACUUUUGGGAUUAAUAAUUAGCACCAAUAUUCAACAGAUGCAUUAAUCCUUAAAUUCUAGUUUGUAAUAAUUUUUGACUCGAGCUUUUUUAAAUUAUUACAAUCAAGUUCCGCAACCUAAUUUUGUUGGCCAAACAAGAAGUGAUGCGACGGAGUUAUUAUUAAUGAUCACAGCAAUGCUUAAAAUAUAGCAUCAUUUUCGUAUCACCAAUAGUUAGCAUUCAGCUAAUGAAAUUAAAUUGCAAAAUUUAAUUAUAAUAAUUGAAAAAAAAUUAUAAAUUAAAAUUUAAGAAAAAAAAUAUUAUAUGUCUCAUAAUUUCAGGAUCAAAAGUGCAAGGAAAAAAAAAAGCACAAAUCCAUGGAGCAUCAACAAUGAUUGAUGGAACAAAAUUAGACCAUUACCUUUGGUUAACAACAUUGUAUUUUAUUCUCCAAGCUUUAACCUUCUAUUUAAAUUGAAGAGUAAGUUCACUAACUAAAUAAUAUAUAAUCUCCUCUAAUCAAUUUUAAUAAGCUCCUAUAUGUAUACACAGGCAACUUGAUGCAUUCAAUGAUCGAAAUUUUAAAUUAGGAUUAAGCAAAGGCAAGUAUAAUUAUUUAAAAUAAAAAUUAUUUGUGCUUAAUUUUUCAUACAGCUUUUAUGUUUUUAAAAUGUACCGAGAAGUUAUUUGUGCUUCUUUAAACAGCUUGAACCGAAUAUUGACCGUUGCUUUUGAAAAUUACUAAUUGAAAAGUUCUUUAUCAAACAUAACUCAUUAAUUAAUGUAAGUACAUGAAAAUGGAAAGGUGAAAGUUUUGAAAACUUCAAACACCUCCUAAGUUAGAGUCAAAUCUUAGAAUUUGUCUAAUUUAUGUUGUUUUCAAAAAUAAUCACAUCACUCUAUAAGCUAUUAUACUUGGCCAGUCAUGUCAAAUUAAUAGGUAAAAUUUAGGGCAAAUUUUAAAUAUUAUUCCUGUGAUUUCACAUGUUCUCACUUUAAUACUAUGUGAUUUAAAGUGCAUCAAUUUAGUAUUCUGUAGUUUUAUUUUUUUUUCUUUUCGUCAGCUUCUCCGUUAAUAUUUCGUUAAAUUAUAUAUAAAAAACUUCAGAUACUUUAUCUAGUUUGAUAGAAUAUUCACUUUAGUACUUUUUAGUUUUAACUUUACCAUUUAUUUAAUGAAAAAAAAAAAAUAGUGGAGAGAAUAACAAAAAAAAAAAAAUGAAACAACGAAGUACUAAAUUGAUACACUUUAAACCACAGGAUACUAAAGUAAAAAAAAGUACGAAAUCACAUGGAGUGGUAUUUGAAGUUUUUUUAAAAAAAUUUAUGAUUUUAUUAGCCAUUCACCAUUAAUUAUUAUUAUUUUAUUAGGUAUCAACAAAUUUCAUAAAAUUUCUUUUAUUUUUGGACUAAAAUAAAUUAACUUUAAAAUAUUAAAAGUUAAGAAGUCUCAAUCAAAAAAAGUCCAAAGUUGAUGGCAUUAUUUCAAAAUGGUGCCGUAUAGUUUGGUCGACGGGUGUCUAUACAUAUUUAAUCACAGAAAUAAUGAAAAUAAUAAUAAAACUAAUAAGGUGAUUAAUUAUAAAAUAGCCCACAGAGUCCACCCAAAACCAUUGGCUUCUAAUUUUCUCUAUGUCACUAUAGGUAUCAUUUCUCUUCCACACCUUUUUUUUUUUUUUUUUUUUUUUUUUUUUUUUUUUUUUUUUUUUGAAUAGGGUUUGGUAGCACCAAACAUUGGACAGAAACUUUCUUGCUUGUCAUCCAACCUCACUUGAGAAGUCCAGUUUCUUGUUGGACCAGGAUAGAACUUCCAGUGGCCGUUAAGUUCUGAAAUUAAAUAUAAAAUAUUUUUAAAAAAAAUUUUAGAAAGAAGAAUUGUAGAUUUUUCGAUGAAAAAAAUCUGAUACAUGACAGUAGAUUUGGCGGGACUCCCUCCCAACAAGGCAUCCGCACUGAAGUUUUCUUUUUUUUUUUCCCCCCACUAACCAAUCCUCCCUACAGUGAAAAUUUUUUCGACAUCAGUUAUUCUAUACUAUGAAUUUAAAAUAAAAAUAUAUAGUCAAUAUUGACUUGAAGCUACCUGGCCAAAAAAUUUUUUUUUGUGCACUAUGUAAUUUGGUCGUCCUUAUAACAGCUAUGAAAAAAAAUAAAAAAAAUAAAAUUAUUCUUUUGUCUCAAAACCUAGAAUCCUUUAAAUUUCAAAUGCCUUGCUCAUGCUAUGGUAAAAAUUUAAAUAAAAGUCAUAAAAGUUUCAAAUACUCAGUUACCGAAUAAUUGCUGCAGUGUAUAUACAGGAUCGAAUGCAACACCUCUAGACCAAACCAACCACUCACUUUACUUGUUUUGGCCAACCAACCCCUCUUUUUUUUUUCCCCAACAAAAAGUUUCAACUUCUAAUAAUAUCUACAAAUUUUGAUAAUAUUAAUUGAUUCUCCAAUACCCCUACCAAUUCCUAAGUUGACGGACAUGAUUUGAUAGUUUCAGCUAAAAUAAACGACGUCAAUCCGUAUAAACAGACGCCGAAAGAUGCUACAAAACCAUACCCAUUUUAAUCAAAAGAAAUAAAUUAGGCGACCUUAGCACAAACUACUUAGGAGGUGUUUGGCCUAUACUUUUAAAAAGUAGCAUUUGGCUGAAAGUGAUUUUUUCGGCUCAAUAGAGCUAUUUGGGCAACUCAUUUUUAAAAUCUGAUUCUGUUUUUAGAAUCCAGUAAAACUUGAUUUGAAGGCCCCAGAAGCAGAAGCAGAAGAAGAAAAAAGUCGCUCUUGAAAUCUAAUUCUGAACAGAGCAGAAAUUUAUUUUCAGAUUUUUUUAAAUUUAAAUUUUAAAAAUAGAUUUCAAACUAAUAAAAGGUUUUUAAAUUUUAAAUUUUAAAUUUUUAAUUUUCAAAUCAAAUUUUAGAUUUUAAUUUUAAAAUUUAAAAUUUAAAUCUACAAAUUAAAAUUUAAGAUAAAAUUUAAAUUUUGACUUUUAGAUUUUAAAAUUUAAAUGAAAAUUUAAAAUUUAAAAUUUAAAUUAUAAUUUUUAAUCUUCAAAUUAUAAAUUGACAAUUUCUUGAAAAUUUAAAAUUAACAUUUUAAAUUUAAUAUUCAAAUUUAAAUUAAUAUUUAAAUUUAUAAUUAUUUAAAUUUUAAAAUUUUGAAAAUUAAAUUAAAAUUUGAAAUUUAAAAUUUAAAUAUAUUUUAAAUAUUAAUAUUUUUUAUAUUUUAAAUUUCAUAAUUAAUAUUUAUUUUUACCAUUUAAAUUUAAUUUUUAAUUUUUAAAUUUCAAAUUUUAAAAUUCAGAUUUUAAAUUUUAAUUUUUAAAAUUCUAAAUUAAAGUUUUGAAAUUUAAUUUUAAUUUAUAUUUAUAUAUUGAAAUUAAAAUUCAUAAUUAAUAUUCUUAAAUUUUAUAUUUAUAUUUUUAAAAAUUUAAAAUAAAUUUUAAGAAAUUUAAAAUAUUUUAAAUAAAAAUACCAAUUUUAAAUUUUGUACCAAUUUUAAAUUUAAAUAUUAAUUUUAAUUCAAAUUAAAUUUAAGAUUUUACAUUAUUUUUAAAUAAAAAUUAAUAAAAAUAUUAAUUUAAUGCAAAACAUCAAAAAAAUUUGCUAAAUAGAUUUCAAAAUCACUCUUAGAUAAAAUGCAGGUUUUUAUCGUCAAACUCCGCCAACACGCUCUAGCAGUUUUUAUACUAAAAAUCACUUGCUUCAAAGCAAAAUCACUUUUUCAGAAGCCAAACAACGUCCUUGAUAGGAAACAGAAUAACAGGUCCACAACUAACGGGAGACGCUAAGCAGGAGCGGAGCGCGCUCAGAGUUUCUGAGAGUUUCCAAUUCAUAAGUUUACUUAUAAUUAGAAGCGGGUAUAAAAUUAACGGCUAAAAUCGAACCGCGUUCUGGAAAGAGAGAAUCGGGUUUGUGAUUCAAGAUUAGAACUAUUAAUCUUUAUCUAGAUAAUCAAUAAAAAAAAUUUAAUUGAUUCGGUUAUUUUGUAUUGUUAAACGAAAAAACACUCUUUGCCACCCGCCGGUAAUGAAAAUUAUUAAUAUUGAAGCCUUGUGAUCACACAGUAAAUAACAUUAAAAACGAAAAUCAUAAAAUUCGAUUUUUAAGCACUUUAAAUAUUCUAAAUUAUAUUUAUCAGUAUGGACUGUCUAUUCAAAAGCUAUAUUUAGGGGAUAUAUUUUUUCUGCAGGGCUUUAUAAAGCUAGAUAUUUUACAAGUGAAGUAUGAUUUAAGAAUUUGACCAACAAAUUUGUCCUUAAAAAAAAAAAGUACAGGGAGUUGGUGAGUCCAAGAAAAUGAAAUUGUGACACAUAAUUCGCAAGGAUGAUGUAGAAGAUGUUGGUGAAAUUAUGGUAGCACUUUGAGCUGAGACUUUGUCUAAGUUAUAUCAAAACUGGGGAUGCAAACCGGGCAGAUCUUAGACAGGGUGGAGUCCAUCACCUUUUGCUUCAUUUACCGUUUGGAGCAGAUUAAUUUUUAUCUUAUUCUUUGUCUUUAUCGCUCUAUUUCGGAUUUAUCAGGACGGAAAUAAAUUUUUGAUAGAUUUUUGACGGAUCAGUGUUGAUAAAAGAAAGAAAAGGGUCUCUCACCUCUCAUUUCAUUUACUUGACCGAUCGAGCCGGUUUCGAAAUAGGUUAUUUCUACAUUUUUAGUUCACAAUUAGUGCCCUAUUCGGGGCCGAUCGGAGCGGGGCCUCCACCAAACCGGAUCCAUUUGCAUUUUUAAGCAGAAGUCUAGUUAUUACAACUCCACAUCUUUAUGUUCUCAUAGUCAAUAAUCUUACCUAACAGCUCCUUAUGGAAUAAUAUAGAUUUAAUUACACUAUAAUUAGGAGUGUAUUUUACAGAUCUUUUCAUGUACUAUACUAUGCUAAUUAUUUUUUUUUCUUUCAAAUACACCACUCAACUAUCAUCUUUUUUCCCCAAAUUCUACACUAUGAGUAAUAAAUAUAUAAUUUUAAAUAAAAAUUAUAUAAAAAAAUACUGAUUGAAAGUGGGUAGAAAGUAAAGCAUAGGCGCAAAAAUUUAAAAAAAAAAAAAAAUUGAAAUCAAAAGAAAAAAAAAAAUAUUAGGAAAAUAUUAGGAUUCAAUACUAGUGCAUUUAAUUUUAUAUACUGUAUUUAAUCCUAUAUAAAAAAAAAAUUGACCUCUUAAUUCAUAAUAACACACACACUAUUUAAUAAUUUUUUUUAGAAAAUCUACAGAUUCACAUCCAUCUCCCCUGGUGAUAUCACUUUCUAUCAGAUCAAGACUGAGUCUGAACGAAUUAAUUUUUAUUUUAUUUUUGAUUUUCACUAUUACUUCGUUCAAGGACGAAUUGGAACAGAAGCAGAUUGAAAUGAGUUUAAAAAAAAACAAAAAAAAACAAAAAGUCUCUCAUAUUUGCUUCAUUUUUUUAGCCGAUCAAGACGAAUUCAGAAUGAACUAUAUGUUUAGAGAGCGGAUCCGGGCAGCAGGAGCUCCGCCAAUCCGGAUCCAUUUGCAUCCGUACCAACCCACCUGCCUACCUAACCCCACUCCCCACCCACCACACCAUAUAAGAAACCCUAAACCCGACCCAACCAACACCCUCAUCAUCAUCAUCAUCAUCCUCAAUCAAAUUCAUUUUUUUUUUUUUCCGAAAACGCUCGCCCCUCCCGCAGCCAUGGACCCGGGCCCCGUCGGCGUGGGCAUUUGCGUCAUCGUCCUCAGCGCAGCGGCGCUCCUCUUCCUCCUCCGGCUCCGGCGGCGGCUCCCGCCGGGGCCGCGGCCGUGGCCGGUGGUGGGGAACCUGCUGGCGAUCGAGCCGGUCCGGUUCAGGUGCUUCGCGGAGUGGGCGCGCGCGUACGGGCCGAUCAUGUCGGUGUGGUUCGGGACGACGCUGACGGUGGUGGUGUCGACCCCGGAGCUGGCCCGGGCGGUGCUCAAGGACCACGACCAGGCCCUCGCGGACCGGCCCAGGAACCGGUCCACCGCCCGGUUCAGCCGCGGCGGCAAGGACCUCAUCUGGGCCGACUACGGCCCCCACUACGUGAAGGUGCGCAAGGUCUGCAACUUGGAGCUCUUCUCCCCCAAGCGCCUCGAGGCCCUCCGCCCCAUCCGCGAGGAUGAGGUCACCGCCAUGGUCCAAUCCAUCCACCGCGCCUGCACCCACCCCGGUACGCUUACCCCUCUCUCCCCUCCUCUUCUUUUCUUUUCUUUUCUUUUUUUUUUCUUUUUUUUUUAAAUGAUUAAUAAUGACUAAUAAAAUGAACACGGUGACGUGGGUGGUGGGCCCCACGGCGGUGUUGACUUUUGACCCUUCAUAACAAUAACAAUAUCUCGCGGAGAAAUUAAAAUUUAUAAUAUUGCGUGCGCCUGGUGUACAUUUUAUAUUUCAUGCACCGCACUCAGUAUAUUAAAUAAGUUAAAAAGAAAUUUUUGGUUGGUGCAUGGUGCAGAUCAAUUAAUGUGCCAAAUUUUAUGUGUUGGGAAAUUAAUUUAAGAAAAAAAUGUAAAUAAAUUGAGCUUGUAUCUGUGAUCACCCGAUAAUAACCCCAUCAUUAUUUUUCUAUUUAGCCUAGAUUAAUAUUAUUAUUUAAUGGUUAAGUUUAUUAAAUAAAUAAUUAAAAAGGUACAUAGUUGGUUCAGGUUGUUGGCCUACACAAUAAGCUGUAGUUGUGCAUAGUGGGGUUGGUGGGGUUUUUGUUACACUUAAUUUCCUUAUUUUAACUUAUCACCCCCGUUUGAUUUGGCCUUGUUAUGUAUUAUGUAUGUACACAAAUGGAUGAAUAUAUAUAUAUGUAUAUAUAUAUAUUGGAUUUGAAUUCUAUACAUUUAAUGUUAAAAUUCGACACAUUUAAUUCGAAUCCGUAGUAAUAGUAAAUAUACAGGCCCAGACAGAGUAAUGUCAUGUAAUGUUACGUGCACUCCCGUUUACUUGUAAAUAUACGAAACAACAGAACUGAUGUAAGUAGGUGUUGAUGCUAACACUGGGUGGUACUCUUUAUAUGUUUCUGUAAAAGCAACUUCGCUAAUUCGUCAAGUUGAAAUCUUUUCAUCCAUACGAUAUGAUUUGGUUGUACAUCGAAACAUGUUUCGGUGUGUAGAAAAUAGAAAAUUUCAUGUAUGUGCUCUGUGUUGGUAGCGAAAUCGGUUUUCAUAAAUUCUUGUUGAUCAUGCACUUAUAUUUACCACUUUAUAUUAUAUUUUUUGAAUUGUUAUUCACAUGUAGUUUUAAUUGGAAACUCUGUUAAACCAAGCUCCAAUUUGUGGUUCGUAGACAAGGUCGGCAAAAGCCUGGUGGUGAAAGAACACCUCUCCAGCGUGGCCUUCAACAACAUAACGAGGCUCGCGUUCGGGAAGCGCUUCAUGAACUCUGAGGGGGUGAUUGACGAGCAAGGACGCGAGUUCAAGACGAUCGUGGCCAACGGGCUCAAGAUCGGGGCGUCUCUAUCUCUCGCGGAGUUCGUGUGGUGGUUGAGGUGGAUGUUCCCCCUCGACGAAGAGCUCUACGAGAGUCACAACGCGCGGAGGGAUAAGCUGACCAAGAAGAUCAUGGAGGAGCAUACGCAGGCCCGGAAGACGAGCGGCGCCAAGCAACAUUUCGUCGAUGCGCUGCUAACUCUCAAGGAUCAGUAUGAUCUUAGCGACGACACUGUAAUUGGUCUUCUUUGGGUGAGUCAUACAUACUCUUAUUUUGCUCUACUAUUUCAUUUCUUGGCUGUUUUUAUAAGAUUAAGUUGCUGCUAAGUAAUCUGUAAUGGUGUGUAGAUUGUGUGGUAGUUUCAAUUGUGUUUGGUUAUAUGUUGCUAUCUUUAGGGUUGGCGGGGUUGGAAAACGUCUUUUUUGCUCUGUGUUGGAACUGAAUUUCCUAUAAUAGAAUAUGUGACCUAACAAAGCUUGUUUGACCUAACAAAGCAUGUUUCUAUAAUACCUUUUAUUUUUCCAUCAAAAUCCUUUUAAAGCGGCAAAAGCACUGUUAGGACUCAAAAAGCUAUUUUGGCUUUUCGCAUUUUGCUUAAGCUAAGUUCUUCUAUGUUUUAACUUGUGGAUUAGCUUCUUAAUACCGAGAAGCACCUACUGAAUCCUUUAUCAAGCAAAAUGUUAGAGUGCUUUAUUAUAAUGGGAGGCUGAAAUGUACUUCUAAGCCUUGAAAAUAGGAGAAGUCCUAAAUUAACAUGACUUGUACAGGACUAUUGCAAAUUUUGUCCACUUUGGGCCAUAGAAGUAGCUCAAUUCCUACGGUUUGUUGUGCAAUGAAAUGCUUCUUGAUCAGCGACUGAUUAUUCUCGGUGCAGGACAUGAUCACGGCCGGAAUGGACACGACGGUGAUCUCAGUGGAGUGGGCUAUGUCGGAGAUUGUCCGGCACCCGAGGGUACAGGAGAAGGUCCAGGCCGAGCUGGACCGUGUGGUGGGUCGCGACCGCAUCAUGGCAGAGACCGACUUCGCUAACCUGCCCUACCUGCAGUGUGUCGUCAAAGAGUCACUCCGACUCCACCCGCCAACCCCGCUCAUGCUCCCCCACAAGGCCAACACCCAUGUCCGCAUUGGCGGCUACGACAUCCCCAAGGGCUCCAACGUCAUGGUCAACGUGUGGGCCAUCGCUCGCGACCCGAAUGUGUGGAAGAACCCGCUCGAGUUCCGUCCUGAGCGGUUCGAGGAGGAGGACAUCGACAUCAAGGGCCACGACUUCCGCGUCCUGCCGUUCGGGGCCGGGCGCCGGGUGUGCCCAGGCGCCCAGCUGGGGAUCAACCUGGUUGCGUCAAUGCUCGGACACCUCCUGCACCACUUCCGGUGGACCCUGCCCGAGGGAGUGAAGCCUGAGGACGUCGACAUGGCCGAGACGCCCGGGAUGGUCACCUUCAUGCGGACACCGCUCCAGGCCGUGGCCGAGCCGCGGCUCCCUGCGGCGCACUUGUAUAGCCGCGUGCCGGUGGAGAUGUGAGGGAGGGCAUCGCCUGUUCCUUCAAUUAAUGGGCAAUGAUGAUAACAGGGCUGCUUUUAUUAUACGCACAUCAGCAUAUUAUGAUCAGAUUCAAUGCAUUUUGUUACAGAUAAUAAUAUUAGUUCUGUUAAUAUUGUGGCCCUUAAUUAGUACUCAUUAGGUACUUAAUAAUUUAAUGCAUCUUUUAAAAACUUCCUGUUUUAUCAUCAAGCUUGUUAGUUCAAUAGUGAUGUUGAGUGUUGUUAUUAUUUGUAAACCUAAAAGUUAAAAAAAUAUGAGAAACGACUGGUGAGUUUCUUUUUGCCUGUAAAUGUAUCAGUUCCAGAUCAAUUUUGGGUUUCUUAUUAUAAGAUCUGUAAAUGUAUCUUCGUCAAUGAUCAAAGAAAUUGAAUAAGAACCAAGGUUAAUGUGGAAAACAUUUACCGAUCUCGCAAAACUUAUGAUUUAAGUUAACAGCUUCAUUAGUUAUUAAUUGUUUUGCUUGCUUUGUUAAACGAAAGCUUCUGUUUCACUUGUUUCAGCAUGCAGUGUGUACAAAAUUACGGUGUUUAUGAACAUCCUUGCAAUGUUAAUGAAACAAGACAACUUUUAUGAAUUAUGAAAAGAACUUUUACGAUUUUAUACAAACUAAGCACAGGUUGGUACAUUUUCAAUCAGAGAUAUACAACCAACCAACUAAGGUUGUUCACAACAUUCCUCAUCUUCCAGAUUUUUUAGCUGCUACAUAACUUCUGAUUUAUACAGAAGCAGCAUUUCAUAUUUUACAACCACCUUUGCCUUCGAACUUCUCCUCUUCGCGUUCCUUCUAUGUUGUUAACAGCAGAUCAUACAUUUCGAAAGUUUCAUGCACCUAAACACAGAAGACGGUAAGUAGGCAACCAUUGCCUGAUUCUGAACUGUUCCGCGUUUUGAAACUAAAAAAGAUGUGAUUUACUGCUUAAUCUUUCAAGUUUCAAUUACUGCGAUGUCUGAACGUACAUUCGAGUUUACACAUUUUCACCCUUUGCAGUAAACGCAAAGUGAAGAUCGAAGAUCGCUAACACUACCUUGCGAAAUUACUGUUCCUGAGUUUGCUGUUACUUUGAAAUCUGUGAGCUGCUUGAAAUUCAUCCAGGGCAUGAGCCAGACCUCGGCCUCAGAAAGCCUGUUCGUGCCCGCUGUCGGCAGCCUCAAUUGUCAGAUAGUAAACCAUUCCCGCGACGACUUGUUCUCUCACCUUCACCACGCGUGAGAACUCCAGAAGAGUGCUCUGCAUCGACGAAAUCAAACAAUUCGAAGGAUAAUUAUCGAGAGAGCAAUUGUGAUCAAAAUUGAUGUUCCAAAUCAAAAUCCUUGUUAGGGAGUGUGCUAAAGCAUAAUACCAAACAUGGAAUAAGAGCACCAUAUUGUGAGUUUUAUAUGAUCUUUUACAAAAGUUAAUUUGAGGAUGUUUUUUAUUUGAUUCUCAUAUAGAGGAUAAACAUGUAUAUUGCUAAGGAUAUGUGGAUGCUUAUAAUAUUCAUCUUAAGAUAGAUGAAGCAAAGAACAAGGAAAAAUUGGGAAAUUAAAUGCUGAAGAAAUUUAUUUCUCGUAUUGCGGAACGAAAACCCUUAUAACAACUUUUAUUUUCGUAAUUAAAUGCCUAGAUAAUAGUUUAUAUAUAUAUGUAGUUUUAUGUAGACCAUUUAAAGAGCAUAGAUUAUUAUGUCUAAUGGUUUAUAAUUUGAUUUUAAUUAAGCCCUCUAAAGUUGAAAAUUAGCCAAUUCUUUGCAAGUUUCUCUCUGAUAAGGACCUUUACUUAAUAAGGUAGUUUAUGUAGUGAAAAAGUUAAUUCUUUUCUUCUAUAUAUAUAUAUAUAUGUAUCUAUUUUCCUUCAAAUAUAUACUUUGUAUCAAGCUAAAAUUUAAAAGAAAUCAAGCAAAAAAAGGGAAAAAAAAGUUAAUUUGACCCUACAAGGCAAUUAAUGUGCACAUCAAAAUGAUAAAAUAUCUUAAUUUGAAGAACUCUUUUAAAAAAAGAGCAAAAUUUACCAACAAAUUAAGAAAAUUUCUGGAGAAAAAAAAUGAAGCUAGUAAAUGAAAUUAAAGCAGCAGGGGAGACACAAACAUAACCCCUAGAAAUUCACAAAACAAGCAAUUAAGAACAAAUCAUGAUCAACAAGAAACACAUGAACACAAUUAAUAAACUAAAGUUCAAAACUAAUAAAAAUAAUAAAAAUUAAUCUUAGAAAAAAGAGUUUACAAGGGUGGUGGUGGUGGUGGUCGUGGUCGUGAUCAACAUCCUUCUUGUUGCACGCCGCGUUGGCGAACCGCGGGACCUCCUCCAUCUCGAAGCUGUUCUCGGCCCCCCUCGGACGCGUCACGGACACCGCCCUCUCCGUCACUAUGUCACACUUGCACAACAUCAGCAAUAAUAAGCUAAUCACAUCUCUCCUUUUAAAAAAAAAGCAUAAUAAAAAUAUUUAUCUAUAAUCAUGAUGUUGUGAUGGAUUAAUUCAAAAAGAGUUUUUUGAUUGGUUGGAGACACCACGUGUCACCAACAUACCCAAUGCGUUCUAAAAUUUUUCCUCUGUGGGCUCCCUCGCCUUCCGCCCCAUGACGGCGGCCCACACGACCAGCGCCUCCAUCGAGCCGCAUCCAUGAUGAUUGUAUUCUCUUCUUCUUUUCCUUCUCCUUUGAAUCUUUUUAUUAGCAAACAUAAAAGGGGAGAAUAUGUUUCAAUGUGUGUGUGGGUGUGUGUGUAUAUAUAUAUAUAUAUAUAUAUAUAAUAUAUAUAUAUAUAUAUAUGAGUUGGACUGGGCUACUAUUAUGAGCAAAAUCCCAUUGUUGCUACCAGUUUUUAGCCUUUGGAUCACUUUUCAUUAUUUCUAACCAUUGGAUUAAAUACUAUAACCCAGUAGGGACCGACUAACCCUAGGGACCAUCAACUCUAACCGACUAAUAUCAUCCUGACCCUACAAUUUUUCAUCCAAGGGUUAAAAACUUGAUAGCAAAAAGAUCAUUUUACUAUUAAUAGUAUUCCAGCCUGAUUAUAUAUAUAUAUAUAUAUAUAUGCAUAGUCUUGUCCUUUUAACGGUUUUUUGGAAAAGUAAACGGAUCUACUGGCUAAGUAGUUGGUGCACUAAACAAACAGGUUCAUUGGAGGGAAAAACAAAAAAAUAAAUAAAUAAAUAAAUAAAUAAAUAAGAAUAAAAAAGUAAAAGAGAAAAAAAAAAAAUUGUAAGAUUUGCUUGCUUCUAUCUUUACUAUUCUACAGUGGAAAAAUGAUAGAGAAAGCAUAAGUGGAUCCAAUAUUUACUCUCCUAUGAUUGCUGUUAAAAUAAAUUAUAAUUGAUCAAAUAUGAUUGUUGUUCUCAAUAGAGAACACACAAAAUCAACUCUCAAUAUAUUAUAUUAUAUUAUUAAGUACAAAAUAUAUAUAGUAGAAGCGUAGUUCUUUGAAUGCUUAGUUUUUUAAGAAAAAUAAAUAUUUUGCAUUCUUUCACAUAAUAUCAUAGGUUCAUUUUAUAUAGAUCCCUACAAAUAUAGUGAAUGACAAAUAUAUUCCAAAACGUCUUACUUUCAUAUAUUAUUUCUAUAAAAAUCCUGAUAUUUUUAAAUAUGUCCCUCUGGUUUAUUACCUUUAAAGAAUCGUUAGAGAACUGUUUAUAUUUUUUCAAUUUUGCUAUCAUAAAUAUAUUCUUUCAAAAACCAUAACAGUAUAAUAUAAAGUGAUAAAAAUGUCAAAAACUAACUAGAUUUCAAGUAUUUAACCUAUGGUUAAUUAAAAUUUUCUAACGGAUUCUAACGGUAAGGACAUAUUUGAAAACAUUAGAAUUUUUAUAGCAACAAUAUAUGAAAGUUGAAGUUUGUAGAAAUAUAUUUGUUAUUUACUGUAUUUGCAAAGACAUGUAUGAAAUUAACCCUAAUAUUAGAAUUAGAGAAAUGUAAUUAACUUUUUACUGUCUCAAAUUAAAGUAAGUUGUGAUCCAGACAUGCCAGCUAUUAUCCAAUGCAUUUUUUGGGUUUCUGCAUAAAGAAAUACUUACAACAGAGAACCUGAAACUGGUCCCAAAAGGAGCCACAAGUAAUUAUACUUUCUUAUGGUCAUUUAAGUGUAAAUUUUACUCUCGCAGAGACCCAAUUAUCUGCCUUUUUGUAUUUAGAUUUAUCAAUCUAAUAAUGAAUGAAACAGGCACCAUGCAACUUUUCUUUUUUAAAAAAAAAUUUAAAUUUUCUUAUCACCUAAGAGGUUGAGGACUCGAGUCAGACGUUUUGAAAACACAGAAGUAAGAAUUAAAUUUUUAGAAGUAGCAAUUCAGAUAACAACAACGAUAAUAUAUAUAUAUAUUUUUUAGAGAAAAAUAACACGCUACCUAUUUCAUUCAUUAGGUAUAUAAACUUAACUACAUAAUGUGAGACGGAUAAUGUGAGACGGUAAGAAACUCGAAAAAGUAAGGAAGUCGAAAAGUACACGGUUAAAUAAGGUAGAGUGGUUGCAAAAAAUAAGACACAAAAGAAAAUUACAGACGAUGACGGCUCAUAGCCUUACAAAAGGCGGCCCACUCCUACGCUAGCUCGCCAAUGAGUUGAGCAGCAGAAAUAAUCGCCAAUGAGUUGAGCAGCAGAAAUAACGUUAGAUUGAAGGUUUCGAAAAAUAGUGUUAUUUCUAUUACGCGAAAUGGUCCAUCACAAGGCCGCCACCAAAAUAUGGGUCUUCAGAUAACAACAACGAUAAUAAUUAGGCUACCGGAAUUACUUACUUGUUGCGAAAAAAGUAGUAACCUUGGAGAGGAUUUGCAACGAAUAAAAUUAUUAGAGGACUGAUUUCAAAAUAGGCUUACAGGUGAGGGGGUUUCUUACACAUUUUCAGAAAGAGAAAUCCCCAUCCACGCACGCUAAAAAUCAAAAAACAAAAAACCCUUUCAAAAACAAACACUCUCUCUCUCUCUCUCUCUCUCUCGCUCUCUCGCCGUCGCGUCCACUUCGAUGGCGACGAAGGCCGACGAAGCCCCGCCGCCGCUUCCCUCCGUCGUCGCCGCCGCCGGCGCCGCAGAACCCUCCGAUCCCCUCUGCGACCCCGAGAUCCGCGCCUCGGCGGCGGAGGCCGAGGAGGAGGAGGAGGAUGAUGCGGAGGAGGAGACGCGCGAGCCGAAGCGGCGGCGCACGUGCCCGGCCGCGCUCGAGACCCUCCUCCCCUCCGCCGCAGCGUGCGGCGGCGACGGCUCCGUCUCCGGCGGCGGCGGAGGGUACGAGGGCGAGGCGAUCUCGUUCUCCUUCGAGGCGCGGAGCUUCGCCCCGAUCGAGACCACCCCCAAGUUCGGAUCCUUCAACUCCUCCUCCGCCGCCGCGCCGAUCCUCGAAACCGCGCCUCCGCCGCCGCCGCCGCCGCCGCCGCCGCCGCGGGAGGAGGAGGAGGAGGAGGCGGUGGAUGGGGUCGGAGUGGAGGGGAAAGAGGAAAGGGGCGGCGCCGAGGGCAAAAUCGGAAAUUCGCAAGGAAAAGAGGAAUAAUAAUACUAAAUGCUCGUGAGCACCUAAUUGACUUUGAGCUGAAAUUUCAAAUUUAGUCCACUUUUAUUGUUGUUGUUGUUGUUAUUAUUAUCUCUAAUUAUUUCCCCUCUUUUUCCCCCUUUUUUUUUUUUUUUACUUUUUUUUGGCCCCUUUUUUUUUUUUUAAUGUAUGACUAAUAGUGGAAAUUAAUUUAUGGGGAAUAAAAUAGUGGAAUGUGAAAUUUCUCGGCUUAUAAAUAUUCCAUCGGCAUUUUCUCACCACACGCAAUGCAGGCAUUUUCUCACCACACGCAAUGUAAUGUUUAAUUUUGAAUGAAGCUAUGUUAUUAAUAUUAACAAAGUUGAUUUUAUUAUUACCAGAUAAAUUUAUCAAAUUUAAUAAUUACUUUUGAACUAAAUUUAAUUUAAUUUCAUAAAUUUAAAUGUGCUCGCAAAGGGCAAUUAUUAUCGGUGAAAACAUACAGAAUUUAAUUAAAUUAUGGAUAGAAAAUAUAAAUUACUCUCUAAAAUAAGAAUUAUAUUAGAAUACUAUUAAUAGCACCAAAUCAUUAGUGUUAUUAAGUUUUUAGCUCCUAAAUAAAAAAAUGUGCGGUUAGAACGAUACUAAUCCUUUAGCAUUAACUGGGUGGGUUGCUGAAUAAUAUGAUCUAACGAAUAAAAAUAAUUAGAGAGAUAAAUUUAACGACAGAAAACUUGAUAACACUAAAUAUUUAGUGUUAUACCCGAACGCCUAAAAUAAUAUAUAUAUUAGAAGAAGAAGAAUUAACAAACUAUCCACGGCAUCGAACACCUACUCUUAUAUAGUCGUCACCAUUAGAAAAAUUCUAUGAUAAUCUUUCAAUUUCAUUUGAGUCAUCAACACAAUGAUUCAUAACAUUUCUUUUCCACUUGACCUAUAAAUGAAAAUUAUAGGAGGAAAAGAAAAUUAAAAAAAAAAAGAAAAAGAAGAAUCCUUAGAACAUUUAUUCAACAGGUGAUGCUAAUUCGGGUGGUGUAUCGUUGAUUAAAGAAGCUUUUGAUGAAACAGGCUCCUUGUACCAUUCAUUCUCUUGGCGUGUGACAAAGCAAGCCUCUGCAUCAAAAUUAACAGGAAAAAAAAAAGAAAAGAAAAAAUCAUAUGAAAUAUGUUAGUCCAAUUUUUAUAUAAAGCUUUAAAAGUUAAGGUAAAGAAAAAUGUAUGGAGAGUCCCUAAGUAUCGGCCGAUUUAAAAUAUACCGCUUAGAUUUUAUGCGUCCGCACUGAUACUCCACUCAACUUCUGCUCGUUUCGAUUCGAGUUGUUUUCGCUAACUGUAACGCCUAGUGAUCGACGGUAUAAGGAUUAGGAAUUUGGGGUUGAUAAAUUUGGGUCAGCGGUUUGGUCCCAAUAUGCUAGUAGGUUGGGUCAUUACAAUUGGUAUCAGAGCCGAACACUAACCGAAAGUGUAAAAGCUAAGUGCUAUGGGCUUGAACUUGACAAGAACGUCAAGGUCUAAACGGAGAGCCACCUCUAGAAUUCCCUAUUGUUUAGUCAUUCUGGUCUUUAUGUGUAUUGGGCUUGGGCAUGACGAGAAUGUCAGAGUCUAAACAUGAGAGUCCGUAGCGUCCCAAUAGUACCAUAUCGAAUAAGAAAAGAACUAUGAUUGAAUUAGGCCAGACCCCAAAAAUCCCAUAUCGAAUGAGAAAAAGAUUAUGAUUGAAUUGGGCCUGACGAGGACUUUAUGGGUCUAAACGGGAAAAGCUCCAACAGUCUAACAUCGGAUGAGAAAAAGGUUAUAAUUGAAAAUGUAAGGUUCAGUGACUCUAAUACUAAAAAUUACACUUAAACAUUUUGGACUGGUGAUUUAGGACCCAACGUUCGAUUUGUGCUAGUAGGCUAGGUCGUUACACUAAAGAAGCCAUUAAACUUAGGAAUCGCUAGUUAAAACGAUGGAAGCUAUUAAAAUAUGAAAAUGAACAAAAUUUAAGGGUCUUCAUGCUUUUUUUCUUUUUUGGCGGAAUUUAAAGCUAUAAAUCCUUUGGGAACAAUACUUGGUGAGUGCACUAAAUGGGUAAUUUACCUGAUACAAAUACAUCCUUGUACUCAUCGUCGUCGUAGAUGAAUGAAGGGGGAUCCGGCGAACCGACGCCGACAAUCGUGCUUCCACUGUUCAAAAGAAUUUCCAAUCAUCACUUUAAGUAUAUUUCAGAUAAACAUUACAUAGAUAUAAGCUUUUAUCGCGAGGCAUCAAGAAAAAGGACACAAUCAUACUAGCAGCAGUAUCACUUCCUUUUCCCAAACUACUCCAACAAAUGAAUUUCAAGAGCUCCAGUUCUUUAAUUUGAAGCAAUUAAAAAUGCAAAGAACUUUGCGGUCUGAUGCGUCAGUACAAAGGCAAACAAUCAGAUAAGCACUAGAAAAGCUAAAUCUUAUGAUCGUUUUCCGUUUUAUUAGCAGAAAUAUAGCAUGCGAUGUUCAAAAAAUUUGCGGUCUGUGACGAACUUGAAAUGAUCAACAAGUUAUGGCCAUAAAUGAAAAUGGUUCAAUACCACUCAGUGCAGUCAAAUCAAGCGCGAAAAUUUACCUUCCCGACAUAAAAACAGCGUUAUAAUCUCCCCGGCCAGCAGCAAUUAUACGCUUCUUCAACUUCUUCAAAGAUGGCAAGACUUCAAAAGCAGGAGGCUCUGAGAAAUACACAAACACACACACACGCCAAUACCCCAUCAUAUAAAAACAGCGAAAGAAGUAAAUAAAUGAAACUAUUAUGAGAGGAGGAAAUAAUUGGCAUAUUAACAGAUGUUCCCGCAUACCAAGAUCGUUUACACAAACAUCCUGAGAUAUCCCGUUUUGCGUGAUCUCCCUAAGCAAGUUCAACGGGUCGACUGAACUAGCCUGGUCUAGCCGAAAGCGCUGCAAAACAGGAACUGAUAUCAUAAGCUAAUGCAUAUUAACCUGUGUAUCAUUGAGCAAUCAAUGGGAUGAGCAUUUCAUUACUUUGUAAACUUCCGCAGUCGAGCAUGCUUCUUGCGGCUUUACGAGCACCAUAGGUAAGUCCACAGGCAAGGCAUGCGGAAUAUCUUCAACAAUCUAGCAACGAAUGCAAGCUUUUAGUCGAACAUUGCAACUCUACAUUUUGAUGGAAAAUAUCCACACUUUUAUUGUUAAAAAAAAAAACAUUCUUCAAUUAACUUUAUCUGUCAAUACCAAUGGCAAAGUAGAUGCCCAUAGUUUUCAGUCAGUCAAGCCACCAGAAAACACAUAUGCGGUAUGCAAGCGCGCAUGCAACAGUAAUAUGCAGUUCAGCAACCAAAAAAAAAAACACAUUAAAAAUGUAGCAUGUAAUGUCAAUUAAUCGUCGAGACAUUAUUCUUAGUCGUAGAUGUAUAAACAAGCAGAACCAGAGUAGAGAGAGAAGAGUUUUCAUUGAGUUUAUAAUGUUGCUUAAUGGAAACAAUUCAAUAAAAACCUUGUUCCUUGUUUCCGCAUUGCAAAUUUUCAGCAUAAAUUUAAGAACUAGUAUCACGAAAUUCCCCGCCGUAUCUGUGUAUGGCGUUGGUGGCAAUCUAAUAAUUUGCCAUACUCAGUUUCAGUUCAAUUUCUAAACAAGGAUGAAGCGCCGUAAUCCCAAGACAAGGGAGCCUAACCUAGUAGCGACGAGAACCCUACUGAACACAAGAUAUCAUUUACAUAAAGGUCACAUAAGAUUCUUUACUAGCAUUAGUGAGCUUCAAAAUAGAAAAUAAAGAUCAUUUAUAUGUGUGUAUACCUCUCCCCUACCGGUACAAUACGCCGCUCCGUGCGAGAAGAAGAAGGGAAUAUCCGAACCAAUUUCGCCCGACCAUUCUUGAAGCUCCUUCUCCGAAGCAAGGCAGCCGCUAAACUGGUUAGCGGCCCAUAGGGCAGUCGCGGCGUUACUACUUCCACCACCGAGACCCGCACCCGUAGGGACUUUUUUAUCAAGAUGAAUCUACAGAAACAAAAAUUGAAAUAAGAAAUACGAUAACGACGAUUCAACCAAGAUUCUAAUAGCUUGUGAGUUACAUUAUCGACAAAUCGUACCCAGAAAAAGUUAUCUGUUCCGGUUUUCUUCCGGUAGAGGUUAAGCGCUUUGACGAUCUGCAGGUCCACGAAAUAAAGUUAUAAUUUGGAAGAAGAUGACGAGUAGGAAAACGUGAUUGUAUACCAAAUUCCUUUCAUCGAGUGGGACGCCGGGCACGUUUGUCGACAACUGAUCCUUCGUCUUCGUGGGCGACAAGGAGAAUUUGAUGGUAUCUCCUAAACUAACUACCUGAAGGGUUCAUCAAGCAAAUUAAGAGAAUUUAAAUGGAUAUGGUGAUGAUUCUACACAAUUAUCUGAGCACUAAAAGGUGAAAAGAAACAUAAAAAACUGAAAUUGCUGAUACAAGUUAUAUACUAAGAAUGGAUGAUGAUCAAGCAAAGGUAGGAAAACAACAUACAUGGAAUAAGGAAGCCAAAUCAUGAAACCCAUCUUCUCUUUUACCAGUUAUUCUCAAGAAAACAUUAAUCUGCAUCAUUCCAACAGCAAAAUCCAUCUCAAAUUCACAACAAAUACACCAAAAAUUGAACUUUUUGGUUUCCUCUUCCACCUGAGAUGAUGUACCUUACAAGGUGAAAAGAGGGAGAGCCUGGAGAGCCCAGUGUUCUUAUCCACCUCAUCUGCUAAUCUGUUUAUCCUCUCAUCUGGAUCAUACACUAUCUAAAAUCCCAAAAAAAACACCUCAACAACAAAAUUAAGCACAAAAAAAAAAAAGGAGACAACUUUGGAACUGAAACACAGUUCUACAAUAACAUGUGCAGCCUCAUACCUGCACCUGUCUCCUUCCUGACCCAGAAGCCAUGAUUCUGGGAGAUGAGUUCUUCUGAAAAGAGCUCUUUUGAUGGAAAUAACAUGAUCCAUGGCCCAGAUUUGGUGAGGAAACACCUCUAAAGGUGGGGUUUUUAGGGGUUUUGGUGUUGUAAUGACAUGGGUGGAGGUGGAAGGGGAGGAGAUGUGAGGAGGAGGCCAUUGAAGGGGAAGCAAAAAAGGGACUGGUUUGGGGGUGUACUUAUCAAAUUUUGUUAUUAAUUAGUGAGGAUGCAAAGUCCAAAAAUUCUACAUUUUUGACCAAAAUUUUUUGCAAUUAUUUUAAAUUAAAAAUAAAAAACACUACUCGCUUCACUCAUUGAAAAAAUAAACUAUGCUAUAAAAAUAAGACAACAGAAGAAGCCUCGACAAGGGCAAAAAACUAAAAAAAAAAAAAAACUAAUGCUUGUUAACUGAGAGGGUCUGUUCCCAAAAAUUCAUCAGCUGUAUUUUAAUUUUUCAUACAAAAAAAAUAAACAUUCAAGAUUCCAUCAAAUUUUAAUUUGUUUGUUGGUUUUUUUAUUUUUUUUAAUCUGAAAGGAGGAUAAGGUAUUAAGGUGAGUUUCAUGUACAUGUAAUAUAAUAAUUUUUCAUAAAAAAUUAUUUUCGGAUAAAAAGUUUUCCAUUGAAAAUAUUUUAUUUUUUCAUAUAUUUGCUUUUUUGAAUAAAAUAUUGAAAAAUAAAAAGAAAAUCAGAAAAAUUAUUUUUCUUGGAAAUUAAAAGGAGAAAAAAAAAUAUUUUAUGAAUUUGUGAGCAGUUCACCUAUUUGAUUUCGUACGCUGUUACCGAUUUUCAAAGGGUGAGUUUGACUUUUCCCUAAAAAUAAUUAGGUGAGUUUUUAAGAUUGUAGAAAAGUACCAACAAUGCUAAUUUUUAGGGCAAAUUUAAGUCAAAGCCACCAUGAGAUUAAUUAAGAUAUGUAAUCAUUUAUACGAAUUCUAAGACAUGUUUAUUUUUUUUUUCUUGAGAAACAGAUAACUUGUUAUCUGUUUUAUUCAUUAGAUAAAUAAAUUUAAUUAUAAACAUGAGCCAACGAAGCCUAAUGCGUAAAAAUUUUAAAAUAUUUUAGAGUGUCAUGCUGUAUGAUCAAAGUACAAUUUGAUAAUAGAAAGAUUAUACUCAGCGCGAAGAUUCCUUUUGCAGUAGAAUCAGAAAUUUCAAUUCAAAACUUUUGCUUUUGCGUCUCACAAAUAUUCUGGGUUCAAAUUUUAUAAAAGAAUUUCAAAAUAAAAGUAAAAGUAAAAACACUUUAUAACAGAAACAGAAACUCUAACUUAAAACUUUUUUUAUAGGUUUCAGAAUUAUUUUGCUUCGCAUAUGACAUAAAUUACAUAGUUUUAUUCAAAUCUCAUAGAAGAAUAGAAAUAUAAAUUUUCUGAUAACCAAACAUCGCUGAUUAAGACAAUCCCAAUUGUAAAAUUGGUACAAAUUUCAUAGAAGAACUAAAAAAAAAACUAUGAAAUAAAAAUGUUAUAGAUUUACAUUCAAAUUUCAUAGAGGAACAAAAGCUACAAAUUUUCUAAAUACUAAUAAACACAGAUAUUAAACUAAUCCAAACUAUAAGAUUCAUUCAAAUUUUAUAGAAGAAAAAAAAAAGCCAUGAAAUUUAUCCAAAAAAAAAGACAAAUUUUAAAACACACAUAUUAAACUAAUCCAUCCAACAAACUAUAAGAUUCAUUCAAAUUUUAUAGAAUAAAAUGAAAAAAAAAAAAUCCAUCAAGUUUAUCAAAAAAAAAGACAAAUUUUUUAUUAAAAAAAAAUUUGCCGCCGUUGCCGGGGAUCGAACCCGGGUCGUCCGCGUGACAGGCGGAAAUACUUACCACUAUACUACAACGACUUGAUUGAACAAUUAUAAAAUAACGUUAUAUUUAAAAGUAAAUUUAUUUUGGUCCAUCAUGUGCUUUAUAAAAUAACUACAAGUUAAGAAAUGAAAAAAAAAAAAAAAAAAAAUCAUUCACCAACAUCGACUUCUCGAGUUCUCUUUUCGAAUCUCUCCUGCUUCUUAUCUUCCAAAAGAACACGCACAUCGUUCGAAUCCUACUACAUGAAUAAAGAACUUUGAUGAUCGCAUGUUAUUUCUCGAAUUCAUAUUCGUACGAGAAUAAUCGAACACGAAAUUAUUUGAGUAAUAAUAUGAUCAAAAAAAGAAAAAUUUUGUAGUAGAAUAAGAAACUCGCACUAAAAUCUUUUGCUUAUAGGUCUUAUAAUAUGGCAUAGGUUACAGAUUUUCGUUCGAAUUUCUUAGAAGAACAAAAUCUCCAGCUUUUUUGACUACUAAACACGCUUCUUAAAGUAAUCAGAGCAUUUAGCGUUUGGUUAGGGGAUAGGGAUAGGGAUAGGCCCUUAUUCCCCCUUUAUACCCAAACGCUAAUUUUUUAUCCGAAAAUAGUAGUUCUCGGUUAUCCCUACCAAUACCUCCAUUUUCUAUAUAAAACUACCUAAUAUUUUUCUUAUCCCCGGAAACAACCCAAUUUUCCUCCAAACGCUAUUUUUCUUAUCCCCAUACUUAUACCUAUUCCUGUAAUAGCUAGUUCUUCCUUAUACCCGAACCAAACGGUGGCAGUGUUUGGAUUGGGGAUGAGGGGAGGGAUAACCCUUAUCCCCCCUUUAUACCCAAACGCAAAUUUUUUAUCCGAAAAUAGUAAUUCUCGGGUACGGUAUAACUAUUCCCAUCAACACCUCCAUUUUCUAUAUAUAACUAACUACUAUUUUUCUUAUUCCAUAUUAUCUAUUCAAAUUUUAUUUUUCUUAUUUUCGGGAACAAUCCAAUUUUCAUCCAAACGCUAUUUUUCUUAUUCUCAUACUUGUACCUAUCCCUGUAAUAGCUAAUUUUUACUUAUUCCCGAACCAAACGCUACCUUAUAGUUUAAAAAGAUUUGAAGCUUGGAAUGAGAGUCGGAAUAAUCUUUUUCAGUCGUUUGCGUU
rnacentral:lncRNA from 1 species